GGCUAAGGGAGCUGGGCAUGUUUAGCCUGGAGAAGAGGAGGUUAAGGGGUGAUAUGAUAGCCAUGUUCAAAUAUAUAAAAGGAUGUCACAUAGAGGAGGGUUAUUUUCUGCUGUUCCAGAGAAGCGGACACGGAGCAAUGGAUCCAAACUACAAGAAAGAAGAUUCCACCUAAACAUUAGGAAGAACUUCCUGACAGUAAGAGCUGUUCGACAGUGGAAUUUGCUGCCAAGGAGUGUGGUGGAGUCUCCUUCUUUGGAGGUCUUUAAGCAGAGGCUUGACAACCAUAUGUCAGGAGUGCUCUGAUGGUGUUUCCUGCUUGGCAGGGGGUUGGACUCGAUGGCCCUCGUGGUCUCUUCCAACUCUAUGAUUCUAUGAUUCUAUGAUAAUCACCAUUUUAAUCAACAUGUCCUCUGUCUUCAUGUGUCAGGCCAGGGCAGGUUGUGGGGUUGUUGGUGUUUUUGGUCAUCAGCCCCUUUCCUUGCAGCUGGGAGGUGGGAAGUGAGUGGGAGUGAGAGAGCUUUAGACCCCAACCAUGUGGGUCUGUUUCCUCCUCAUUAUCUCAUGGUUGCCGUUUCUUCGCUCUCUGCACUUUUCAAAGGACCCCAUUAUUUCCAAUCUCCUUCACUUGUCAAAAGUAAUUUGGGGAUUUAUUAUUAUUAUUAAGACAACAUGGCCCUCGACCCCCUCGGUCUCUGUGGGGUGGGGGUGGGGGGCUGCCUCUCUCCUUUCAAACCUUCACCUUCCCAUUUCCAUUCACACCCCCUUCCCACCCUGCAGGCCCCUCUCCCUUCUCUCUGGACAAGGCUGCUGAGCUCACAUUCAGCAAGCAGAACUCCAGUCCCAAUUAGCAGCCUUCCCAAAGGGACAGGAAUUUUAAUUAGUAGGCUGGUCAAUUAUAUCAAUGGACAGUCUUACCUUUCAUUCCUUUCCGCAGCAUUCUGUUUUCGGUCCCUUAGCAGUCCUUUUGCCCCCAAGUGAUUCGCCUUCCCAGGAAUGGCUGCCUCCAAACCACAAAAAAUCACUUGGCUUUUAGAUCCUAGCUAAGGGAUGGAAGGCUCUGUCCGUUUUUGGUUCUCUUGGUUUCUUGUUUCUGCACUUUUACAUCCAGUUCUCUGCAGCCACCUGUGAGUUUUGCCAUUACAAAUCCUUGUGAAAAUUCUUGAGCAUUUCAGUGCAAAUUUCUCCUAGCAGACAGAUUUGUACAGGCAGUCUCAACCAAUGUGCACACUUUUACAAACAAGAGUUUUAAAUGAGCAGCUACUUCGAAGAACGGUGCUGUCUCCACUGAACUGUCUCCAUUGAAUGCCUGGUCAUUUCCACUGCACUGAGAGUAGAGUUUUCAACAUUUUUUGUAUGGACAGCUGACCUCUGUGUCCCAUCAGAUAUGGUACAGUGGAUUUUCGGGUUGCGAACGUGAUCCAUGUGGGAUGCACGUUCACAACCUGCAGCGUCUGCAACACGCAGCUGCGCGGGUUGUGAUUUAGCUCAUCUGCGCAUGCGCAAAGCACAAUUUAGCGCUUCUGCACAUGCGCGGCCGCCGAAACCCGGAAGUAACCUGUUCCAGUACUGGCGGGUUUUGGCGGUCCAUAGCCCAAAAAAACGCAACCUGAAGCGUCUGUAACCCGAGGUAUGACUGUAUUUGACAAUCCACUCCAUUACAAAGACAGUUUGCCAUGUGCCACUGAGGGGCUGGGGUGAGGUAGAGGAGAUCAAGUCUAUCAUCCAAAAAACUAGUUGCACAAUUCUUUGGACUGUGGCCACGGUGACUUGGGGGGCCUUUGGGGGCCAGAUAUAGAAGCCUAGGCAUGUGGGAACUACUAAAUAGAAGUUAGCUCCUCCAUGCACAAACACGUGUUUCGAUAAUGCUGAACAAGGAGACAAACCCUCCAAUUCCACCUGUUUAGUCAUCUCAGAAACUUGUUUCCUAUCCCCGCAUCUGAGUGGUGUUGGAGCACCAUAGCAGCUCAGUUGACAGAGCACCUGCUUUGCAGAUUCCCUUCGGGCACCCGAGUCUCGCCAGACACACGAGGCAUGAAGCAUCACCCUCGGCCCCGAAUACAUUGAUCUCAGUGCGUUAUUGAUCGAAUAAAUCUGACAUUUGAGCUCAUUAUCGUUAAACGCGGGUGCUUUACUACCCUUUCAUCAUAAAGACGAACAUCAACCUCCCCCUCCCUCCCCGAAAAUUUACGUUCAUAUAACGAUUUUCACUUUUCAGGCUCAGGGUAUUGUGGCAUUGGAAUUGCUUCAUUUAGGAAUUUGCUAUUGUAGCAAAUUCCGACGGCUGAUGGAUGCUGAACUGUAAAUAAAUAAAUAAACUGAACUCCUUCCCUUUUCUUCUUUAGCACACAGAGCUAGCUGAACUUGACUGGAAAUGGCUCCCCAUGCCCCUUGCUCCCCCACUGCCUCUUGCAUUCCUAUUGACAUGGGCAAUCUUAAUAUAAUUACAAGGCUAGGGGUGUCACGGACAGCAUCUGCCUGCUCCUAUAUGAAAACAAAGUGUGGGUGGGUCUGUACCAGGGGUUUCCCAAACUUGGGUCUCCAGCUUUUUGAACUACAGUUCCCAUCAUCCCAUACCACUUGUCCUGCUAGAUAGGCAUGGUGGUAUUUGUAGUCCCAAAAGCAGCUGGAGACCCAAGUUUGGGAAACCCUGGUUCUACAUUUUACAUGAAAAGGAGUGGGGGUUUGGGGGAGGGGAGAGAAAGGAGCUCAUCUCUUACUCCACAUUGACUGAUUGUACUGUACUGCCUCGCAAUGCCAAUCCAAUAAGGAAGCCCCAUUCAGUUCAAAAUGGGACUCACUCCCAGUUGAGUGUGUAUGGGAUUGCUGCUUCGAGCAGUUUCCUUCCAGUUACCUAAUAGAAGGUGUUAGGCCGGAAGAAGACUGGAACACAGGAAGUUACCUUAUACUGAGUCUGACCAAUGGGCUAUCAACUCUACUCCUCUGAUUGACAUGAGAUCGCUAGGGUUUCAGGCAGCCAUCUUUUCCCUACCUGGAGUUACUGGGUGGACUGAACCUGGGACCUUUUACAUGCAAUGCAUGUGCCACAUCACUGGGCUACUGUGGCCCAUCUCAGGAGCUUAAGGGGACAGAACUAGAGUAGUCCUGUGAAUAAACAGGUCCCAAAGAGAUUCCUCAGAUCAGUUCCUAAUAGUAUAUUUCCAAGCAGCCUCCUGCCCCUUCCACAUGCACCUGUACCAAUUUUCCUCCAGCCAACUCACCUCUUCACUCAACUUUGCUUAAAAAAAAAAAAGUUUUCUGUGGAGUAACACCGCUCCCUUCCGAACCUGCUGGACAGAUGUUUGUUCAUUUGAGGGAGAGGUAGUGGUUAUGUCGCUCCGUAAGGGAGCUGGUUGCAGAGGUCACCCUUGAAAAAUGGAUCACACUAACUUACACAUUAUAAACUUUUAAAUGGUCGGUUUUGUCUUCCUUUUGUUUUUAUUUCUACACACAUAGAGCCAGUGUGGUGUAGUGGUUAAGAGCGGUAGUCUCGUAAUCUGGGGAACCGGGUUCGCGUCUCCGCUCCUCCACAUGCAGCUGCUGGGUGACCUUGGGCCAGUCACACUUCUUUGAAGUCUCUCAGCCCCACUCACCACACAGAGUGUUUGUUGUGGGGGAGGAAGGGAAAGGAGAAUGUUAGCCGCUUUGAGACUCCUGAAGGGGAGUGAAAGGCGGGAUAUCAAAUCCAAACUCUUCUUCCAAAACAUUGGGUGCCUCCAGGCUGUCAGUUUUUGUUUUCUUUUGCUAAGCCUUUCCUACGUGUCCAAAGGCAGUUGAUUGAUGCUUCAGGCUCAACACUUGACUGGACCUGAAGCCGGAACAGUGAGCUUUGCUUAACAGUUUGUUUACGGAACAGCGCUUUCUUUUUCACUGUGGAGGAAUCCAGGACUGCACAGGCUUGCAGCUCGCCUCUCUUUCCUCCUAGCUGAAGGCAGGCGGUGAACCGAUUAUUUGUUCUGCCACUGACAUCCUGUGGUCACAGCUGCUCACGCAAAGAUGAACUGGAUGGAGGAGGGGAAAGACAAAAGAGGGAAACUUCCUUUGCUUAUCACACCUACACUUGGUUUGAACCUAUGCUUUAGGGAUGCCACCUUGGCGACAGGCCCUGCUCUGUUGCGUUUGGCAUGCAGGGAUGAAACAGGCAUCACCCUUUUUCCUCGCUGCAUCUCAAUACAAAGAAACACUUUGCUGCUUGAUUUCUGCAUGUGGGUGCAGAAGCAAAACCAGAAAACGUGGCAACCUUGUGGUGAUCAGAUUGCUGCUUUUACACUGUAUUGACUGAUUGGUACAGGUCAGGGCUGUAAAGGGACUCCUGACAGUUAAGCCCAGUCGCGGACGACUCUGGGGUUGCGGCGCUCAUCUUGCUUUACAGGCUGAGGGAGCCAGCAAUUGUCCGUUCUGCAGACAGUUUUUCCGGGUCAUGUGGCCAGCAUGACUAAGCCACUUCUGGUGCAAUGGAACAUCAAAACCAGAGCAGCUCACGGAAACACCGUUUACCUUCCCGCCGGAGCGGUACCUAUUAAUCUACUUGCACUGGCAUGCUUUAGAGCUCCUAGGUUGGCAGGAGCAGGGACCAAGCAACAGGAGCUCACCCCGUUGCGGGGAUUCGAACCGCCAACCUUUUGAUCGGCAAGUCCAAGGUUUAGACCACAGCGCCACCCACGUCCCUCAAGAGAGGGUUAGGAGCUGCAAUUCACAGAGCAGUUUAACAAUCAAUCUCUCUUCCUAGGGACCUCUGGGAACUGUAGCUCUGUGAGGAGGUCUCCUGACAACUUUCAGCACCCUUUACAAACCACUCUUCCCAGGAUUCUUUGGGGGAAGCCAUGGCUGAUUCAAGUGGCAUCAUAGGGAGUGCUUUAAAUAUAUAGUCUGGAUGUGGCCCCACUCUCUUAAUAACUUAGAAUAGGGCUGUUUUGGUUUUGUUUUUAAACCCAUUCUUUUCAAUGGUGUGAUUUUUCCCCCUGUUAAAAAUGCAAUAACUCCCUCCGCCAUCUCCCUUCCUCACUGUUUAAGCAUUUUUCAACCCAAGGAAGAAAAGUAAUAGUUUGCCACCCUGUUUGUCCAGCGGCGGCUCAAAUUACAGCUCAAAUUACAAUUCUCACUCGAAUCAUGAAAAUAACAAACUUUGAAAACUGUAUUUUCAGAUAAUGAGUACAUUUCAAGGCAAUCAUGAUGUGUUUGCAGCUCUAAGGAGGAAAUGAAGACCAAGCCACCGGAUAAGUUAUUCACUGUGAAAUAUUUCCUUGGUUCUGAUAAUGACGUUAUCCAAGUGUCAAUGGAUUUAGAGUCACAAUCAAAUAUUCAAUGGCUUGUUUCCCCAAAGGUCAUCUGAGACAGGGAUGCCAUUUUAGGUUUCAGUAAUGGGAAGGCAAAGAUUGCUACACUAGCACAGACUUUACUGGAAAGUAAAGCGUCUUUCUCUACACUCCCUUAAUUAAAAGGGGGGGUGCUCCGUUCAGCAGAGCCCCUCUAGUCCAGCAUCCCAUUGUCAUAGUGAUCAACCAGAUGCUCAAUGAGAAGUCCACAAGUGGAACCUGAGCACUUCAGCACUUCCUCCAUCUAUGAAUCCCAGCAAAUGUUAUUCACAGUGGGCAUAGUUGUUGGAUAGCAGCCAUUGCUAACCUCAUCCUCCAUGAAUUUGUCUUCUUUUAAAGCCAUCCAAGCCUCCUAUGGGACCACAUUCCACAGCUGUACUAUGUACUGAGUGCAGAUCUACACUCAUGGUUUCUAACGUUAAGGAAGGGUUAAGGAAUGGUUUUUAUAAUGUAGAUGGGCACAUGACGUCCUACUUUUAGCAUUUAUAAUGCAUUAUUAAAAUGUGACACCAGAGGGUGCUGCAGAGGAACCAGCUACCAGCCAUAGAAAAAUAGCAUUUUGACAGAGAAAACAAAGGUAAGAAAUGCUUUUAAUUUACAAGUAUGCUCUGUGAUGUUUCAGAACGAUAUAUCUAAUAGCGUUCUAAUAGUGUUAAACAGACUAGUGUAGAUCCAGCCUGAGUGAAUAAGUACUUUAUUUCAUCUGUACUGAAUCUUCCAACAUUCAGCUUCAUUGGCUGUCUAGUGUUAUGAGAGAUGGAUAAAAACUUUCUACAUGCCAUGAAUUUUAUAUAUAUAUAUAUAUAAACCCCACUUUCUACUUGCCAUGUAUAAUUUUAUAAACUUCUAACAUAUCAACUCUUUAUCUCCUUUUCCCUGGACUAAAAAAAAAUCCCAGAUGCUACAACCUUUUCUCAUAUGGAAGUAACUCCGUCCCCUUGAUCAUUUUGGUUGGCCUUUUCUGAACCUUUUUGAACUCCACGAGAUGCUUUUUGAGGUAGAGAUGUAGGCAAAAUUCCAAAAGCACCAUAGAUUUGUAUAAUGGCAUUAUGGUAUUGACGAUUUUAUUUUCAAUUCCUUUCCUAAUGAUCCCUAGCGUCGCAUUUGCCUUUUUCACAGCUGCUGCACACAGGAUCGACAUCUUCAUCAAGCUCUCUGCUCAACCUCAAGGUCAUGUUCCUUGUUAACAGCAAAACCUUGAGCUUGUCCCAGUAUCUGAUUGCCAUUCAGUGCAGUUCUCUUAGCACAGGUGUCAUAGGUGUGUGUCCUGGUACUCCUCUCAGCCACCUGGCUGCAGUGUUCUGCACCAGCUGUAGCUUCUGGACCAAUCCCAAGGGAAGCCCCACAUAGACGGCAUUACAGUAAUCCAAUCAUGAGGUUAUCAAUGCAUGAAUCACAGUGGCCAAGCUAUUGCUCUCCAGGAAAGCGUGUCUAGAACCAGUGAACUCAAUUUCUGGACCUAGGAACUGUUCACCCACAAAGUCUCAGUCUUACUAGGAUUCAGCUUCCAUCAGUUGGCACCUCAUCCAGCCAACCACUUCAUCCAAAUCUGCCACAGUCCAUGGUCUCUCCUAAGGUGUUUUAGAAAUCAUCAGCAAACUGAUUUCUGACAUUGUAUGGCUGCUUUGGGCUGCUUUGUGAGGAUUGCUAUUGUUAUCAUUAAUAAUAAACCAUGGAGUUGUUCUGCUUCAAUCCUUUAUCUCAGGAUAACAGAAGUGAGAGAGUUAAUUUUGCAAGGAUUCAAACGAGGUUUUCUGUUGAUGGGUGUGUUUUUUCCUUCUUCUUCUUUUUCAACUUAUUCCGAACUCUGAUUCAUCUCUCCAACGUGUAAUAUAUCAGCAGUUAAGGGACAGCUUUCCCAGGAGAACUGAUCAUGUAAACAAAUGUGUAUUGUGCGACUUGCACAAUAGAAAGGAUUCCCCCCCCCAAGGGUCAUUAUUCAUACUUUAGUUAUUAUCCAUCAAAAUUCAGCGUACCGAGAUCUUAAAGCACAAUUUGUACGUUGCACUUGGAUAGCUGCAGAGAGGAGGAGCGGCACAAUCUGUGGGAAUUUCUUAAAUUUUCAUUAACUCUGCAACAGCUGGCUUUGCAACGAAUCUUUAAGUGAAGACAGACAUCAGAUUUUAAAGAGCUAUUGCAGAAGAUCAUCACCCACAGAGAGAGCUCGUCUUUGUGGUUUGCAUUGUGAGCGGACAUAUCAGAAAGCUGAACAUCCCUAAUUCUCACCCCUCCGCUUACGAAUCAGGAGAGCCCUCUGCCUUUUUUUUUUAAGACAGUCUAUGUCAAUCUAGAGCAUUCUUUCCCAAACUUGGGUCUCCAGCUGUUUUUGGACUACAACUCCCAUCAUCCCUGGCUAGCAUGGCCAGUGGUCAGGGAUGAUGGGAACUGUAGUCCAAAAACGGCUGGAGACCCAAGUUUGGGAAACACUGAUCUAGAGGGACGCUGGUGGCGCUGUGGGUUAAACCACAGAGCCUAGGACUUGCCGAUCAGAAGGUUGGCGGUUCGAGUCCCUGCGACGGGGUGAGCUCCCAUUGCUCGGUCCCUGCUCCUGCCCACCUAGCAGUUUGAAAGCACAUCAAAGUGCAAGUAGAUAAAUAGGUACCGCUCUGGCGGGAAGGUAAACGGUGUUUCCGUGCUCUGCUCUGGUUCACCAGAAGCGGCUUAGUCAUGCUGGCCAUAUGACCCGGAAGCUGUACCCGGAAGCUCCCUCAGCCAAUAAAGCAAGAUGAGCGCCACAACCCCAGAGUCGGUCACGACUGGACCUAAUGGUCAGGGGUCCCUUUACCUAUGUCAAUCUAGUUGUGUGUAGACCAUGUGUGUAGCCAAUGUGGUGCCCUCCAGAUGUUUUAGAGUACAUCCCCCAUUAUCCCUAGUUAUUGGCUAUGCUGGCUGGGACUGAUGUGAGUUGUAGGUCACAACAGCUAAAGGGCACCAUCCCCUAUGUAGACAUUUGUCAUCAGGUUAAAGUGACCUGCAUGUUUGGCCAACUGCUGGGACAAUAACUCUGCUAGGGUCUCCACCACCAACUGGGGAAGGCAUCUGUAAAACUAUUGAAUACUCUGACCAUUGGACAGUAGAGAGAGAAAGCAGCAGCAGCAUCUGGUAUUUGCCAACACCAUCCCAUGAUGGAAAAUAAACAUCGCUACCCCUACCUGCCAUUCCAUGCUCCCUUCAACUCCUCCUCCUGCUUACCUUAACAUGACAUACCCCAAGGGAUCUUUCAACCAAAUAACAAAUCUCAAGCAUGAUUCAUUGCAAAAGAGGCCCAAUGACAGUGUUGGCAUUAGUUUGUGCUGCAAGACCUUGUCUAGCUGGCCAUGUGCACCUCCUUCCAGACCUGGCAUUGAUUACAGCUGAUAAUUGUCUUCUAAUUGGCCUGCAGCUGCUUAUCUACCUCAGAUAAUUAAACUGAAGAGAAAAAAAGGAAGACAAAACAAGGAAAGAAAGGGGAACAUCUAUUCUUAAGCUCAUUGACUAUUCUGAUCAAUGGGUGGGAGGUCACUUUGGGCAGAUCUAGAACAAAGAGCUGUCCUUGUUGGAAAUGCACAUAUUAUUGCAAGGUGGGUGUUUACUAUUCGUUCUUAAAAAUGUGGAUCGGUUUUCCAUUGAAUCUGCAGGACGUACAACACAAUAAGGGUGAUUAAAGAAGGGUAACAGGUAUCAAGUUGCAGAGUGUGAGGCUGAGCUAUAGCACGGUGAAUUGUCAGUUCCGUUGCUACCCCCGAUGGCGGCCUCAUUUCCUGCCAUGGUGUUUCCUGAGUCUCAGACGUGAAGUAGGAGUUGGAAUCUAGCAGGGUGAUUGGUCAGUUUCGUUGUUACCACCUCCGAUGGCGGCUUCCUUUCCUUUCCCGAUGUAAUGCAUGUUCUUUGUACUUUCUUAUCCAUUUACUGUAUAUACUUUUCCCGAUUUGAACUAUAAAAUGGUGAUUUUCUUGGGUCAAAAUGAGAGUACCCCUAAAUAUUUUUUUAAGAAAAAAAGCACUGGCUACAACCAGGCAUGUUGUGCUGCCAAUUCAGGGACAUUGUCUUCCUUUCUUUUCCUCCUUCAUCGGAUUUAGUGAUGGAACCCCCCCCCCCAUUUAACUUUCUGGAGGACUUGGGUCUCCAAUUCUCUUGAACCAUGGAGAUAAUAGUCCUUUCCUGAGUCGAUGCAUCUCAGUAGCUCUACAUGCAGAGACAAUGCAUCUAGCUGUCAGCUUCCACUGUGCUGUUACCUCCCUGCAUGCCUGGAUUCCCCAGUAAAAUAAACUCCACCUGGCUGACAGGGAAGCUUCCAUCCAUCUCUUUGUUUUGGGCAGCAAUUAAUUUUGGACUCUUUAGUGUUUUAGACACAAAUAAAUAAGCCACAGAGGAGACGUCCACCAACCUUGAAAGUCAAGUGCAAAUGGGACGCAUGGAACCUUUCAAAGGAAAGGCUACAGAUUCUGAAGUAGGCAGCAAUUGGCUGACAGCAAGGGCUUGCAAGGUCUGAAGCCAACAGUUAGAUCCGUGUCAUUAGUGAAGAAGACAACGAUGAUCUAUUCUUAGUUUUCUUUCCUACCACCCAGAGUGAUGCAACAAGGGUCAGCAAUCAGUAGUGCUCCUACAAUGCAUUUUGAAUAAGGUAAUGAGAAUGUUUGGGGGUGUUAUUGGUGGAGGGGCUAGAUCCACUGGUGGAUCCAUGCCCUGGAUCUUUUACUCAGUGCCCCAGGUCUGUUGGCGGCAGCACAGGAUGGCAGUGGCAGCAGUGGCGUAGCGUGGGUUGUCAGCACCCGGGGCAAGGCAAGUAAUUUGCGCCCCCUAACCCGUGGAUUUGCGCCCCCUAGCCCGUGGAUUUGCGCCCCCUAGCCCUAACCCCCAGAUGUUGCGCCCGGUGCGGCCACCCCCCCUGCACCCCCCACGCUACGCCACUGAGUGGCAGCAAGAUAUAGACCAACCACUGCACUGCAAAUCAGCUGUGCUGUUCACAGCAGCUGUGAGAGUGGUGGGAGUCAAGUGCUGUACAUUAGCAUAUGUAAAUGUUAUGCAAACGUGGUUAUCUAUGCCCCAUACCUUUGACUCAUUAGUAAUACCCAUGGGCAUACUUGGAAGGGAGAAGGCUGAGAGUUGAAUUCAAAAUGUAUUUGUCAUCUUUCAGUGACCCAUUAUUCAGCAGCCUCACCUUGGCCUUUGGCUGAGAUUUAUGUAACGACCGCAGAGUAUAUGGCCACAAAAUCUUAUAAAGGUUCCCAGUUGCCUGAUCUUCAGAAUCAGCUUUAGCAAGUGCUGGUUUGUGCUGUUGCAAUUGGCAUAAUAUCUGGCAUUUGGCUGUUGAGGGAUAACAAGUUCACAAAGGGAGUCCAACAUUUUUCAUAGGGCCUCCAUAGUUAAAAAAUAAGGAUUGCCAAGAUGGUGUCCUCUAAAUGGUUUGGACUACAUCAGCUCCAGUCAACACAGCAGUCAAUGGUCAUGGAUGAUGUGAGUUGUGAUCCAAAAGAUCUCGAGAGCACCAUGUUGGCUACUCCAAUUAUGGAGUGUCUUUCAACCAUGUGGCCCCUAAUUAACAUAACAUAGGUGGUUAAAGCACAAGAUCUUUCGCCCUCAAAUGCCCUCACUGAUUGGCUACCAACCUUUGCAGCAAAAAUAAAACCUCACAAAAACUGAACAUACUGCUGGUAUAAAAUGCCUCUACCCCAUACAAACCUGGGCUUGAAACCUCAGUAACUGUGUGUGUGUGCAUUGGAUUGGCUAUGCAAAGCUGGGGAAAACAAAUUUCUUGUGACCGCUGGUGUGACUUCCUCCUAUUCUUCAGAGAUUUUUACACAGUAAUUCACACAGGCACUUUGAAAUGCACCGUGUGCUUAAAAGGUGCUAAAAUUGUACAGCUUCCGAGUAAAGCACUUUGGGCUGUCUAUAAACGCUUUUCAGAAGUAUAUCAUAUUCCGGGGGGGGGGGGGGUCUUCCCUUCCCCCAUUGCAACCCUGCAUGCAAACUCUCUACGUAGGAACCAAACUUUAUGUUUCUCUGCUAGAUUUGCUCCUUUCUCCUAAUUCAAUGAAGGAUUUUUGUUGUUGGACAAACAGCAAAGGAUGGCUGAUGGGGCAGGAUUUGAACUUGAGGGCUUGGAACAAAUUGAUGCCAAACGAAGUGUCUGGGCCUUGGCGUCCUGGACUCUUCUUCUCUCUUGCCUCCUUGUCCCAGAAGAACGUUGCAGGCAGAGAUAACCCUCCUUUCUCCCGUUGUACAAUUUAUUAGAUAAUCUGUUUCUAAUCAAGAACUAAUUAAAGGAAGGGAAUGCUUGGUUGGAAACGGGGAUUAAACAUGGAAAUUAUUAUAAAUGCUACAUUUCUUGCUGCACUCAGGCUUAUUCAUUCCCUGGAGCUUUCCCCCUCACCUCUUGCAGGCUGUUCCUGAUAAUCGAGUGUGUGUGUGUGUGUGUGUGUGUGUGUGUGUGUGUCUUGCUUCUACAGCCUGCAAUUCUUCAUUUGGUUUUGUUGGCUAAUGUUGCGUUUGUCCAAGGACAUUAGCACAAAGUGUUUUCCUUCUUCUUGCAAAUCCAUUUGGGCGGCUGAAACAGAAGGUGGGGAGGUGUCCAGAUGCACACAAACUCAAAAUCUACAAAGCAAAGCUUAUGAAUUAUUUCAUCUGAUGUGGACACGGCGAACUUGCUGCUGUUCUGCCAGCAAGAGGAAUUUCCUUGGGAUAUUUUCUUCUUUCCUUUGUCUUUCCCCUCCUCCCCUUUACUCUCCAUGUGCAAAAGACUCUCCUGGUGGAAGAUAUUGAUGUAUGUGAGAGCAGCUCCCGUGUGAUCACAGUUCUUCCAGCCUCACCAUCUUCUGCCUCACCUGCUAGAUGUGUUGCCUGUGGAAUAGUCAGGUUAUGGCUCUAAGAUGGUUAUGUAAGUUACACCUACCCAGCUGAGGUCCACAGAAAUGUUUUAGAGUCCUGGACCAGGCACCAUUUGGCAGGAAGGCAAAAUAUCGCCAUGAGCUCCUGAGCAACAAGUUGCUUUUAGCCUAAGGAAACGGCGAAAGUUCCAUUUUUGGAAAGAAGAAAAUUACCCAGAAAAAACAAAGAUUCAUUAAAAACAGAAACCCAGCAACCUCAUUUACAUUUAUGACUUCUACAUUUAGGUCCUUUAAGCCUGUCAGAGAACUCAUUGUAGCCACAAUUUCUGUAGGGCAGAUUUAUAAAAGCUAAUAAAUACGUGCUUAGCUUGUGGCUUUUGUUUUAAUACCAAGAGCUCUGUUCUGCUCACUUGAACGCACAGUACAAGUUCAUUUAUCCAGAGUAAGGAGCAUUCAGUUAAGUGGAUGAAUAUUCAGAUAUGCCGUCAUUGCCGUUGUUGGCAAUGACCUGGUUCACACAUAAUGCUGAACCAUAGUUGAUGUUAGCCAUAGUUAAUAAACCAUAGUGAAAGCUGAGGUGUGUGGCAGAUGAUUACUUAAACCUCAGAAUAUCAUGUCACAGAGCAACUGAGCCUUAACAGACAUUUGAAAUUUUUGUUGCUCUCUUGGAUGGUGGCAUCCCCUUAACGAUAGCUGAGGAAGUCUAGGUUGGCACAAAAUGCUAAGCUAUGGUUAACAUCAACUAAGGCUUAUAAAACAACUGCAAACCUUGGUUAAAUAGCACUCUUUAACCACAGUUAAUACCAGAGUUGUACUGCUUCACUGGGUUCACAUACCAUGCUAAGGCAUGGUAUAAUAAACUAUGGUUUAGCAUUAUGUGCAAAUCAAGCCAGUACAAAAGCUAUCACAGAAAGCUUCCAACACCAGAUGACCUGGAGCCAAGCUAUGCACACCUGCAUGUGUGUUCCUUUAUCUGGAUAUUUAUUUUUAAUGAAGAACAGUUGUGGAUGGCUGCAGACUUGACUGGAAAAUUGAGGGUGGAAACAGGAGCAGAGAAGCUGAGACGUUUAACCCAUUUCUAGCAGGAACGUUUUGUACUCACAAUUUUCCCCCACUCCCCAAUCACUGACUCAGGGCAUUGUGUGCCACACUGUGUGAAUCCUACAGUCUUAGGUGCAUCUGAUGACAUUGUAAAACUAUACCAAACACUUGGGGAAAUGAUAAAGAAAUAGUCCCAAGAGAUCAUGGCGCGUGCGCUUAGAUAGAUGCUGCAAGGAGUACAAUGACUCCAGUAAAAAUGGGCACGGCAGAAUAAAUAAAUGUAAAUUCUUACAAAUCCCUCAGACUGUGAUUGGUUUAGGAAGUUCUGGAGCAUCAUGAUCAUGCAGUCUUGCGCAGCUCCUAUUCAUUACAAAGGGCUUGCUCCAGAGCAUAGAUUGCUUACAGGAUAUAUAAUAAAACAGGUGUCAAAACAGAUUUCCUGCGUGGCCUUUAGCAAGUCAUUUAAUUUCUUUCGAGGCAAUAUUCUUCUUCAGGGGAUGUAUAGUGAGGAUGGAUUUGUCUCUUGCUCUUUCUAAUUUUCUUUUUAAAAAACUUUUUUAAAAACAGGACUAAUAAAACUUGUCCACUUGCCUUGCAGGGGUAUCGUGUGGAUUAAUUAGUUUGUGUUUCCUCGAUGCUUUGGAAAUGUGAAGCAGUGUACGCAUUAAGUACGAGGGCCCCCAAUACAUUACUUUUUAAAAAAUAACAUAAACAACGCCAUAUUUCACAAGGAUGUAUAUAACUCCUGCACUCAUAAUUAAAUCUCUCACUCCACUGCUUGGGCUCUGCCUUCACAUACCUUCCUCCUUCCAAGGGGGUCUAAAAGCCAACAUCCCCUUGAAUAAUAGGAGAGGCAAGGAAGCCAGGGCAGUGAUUUAUAUAAAAGGUGACAUCUUCACAAAGCCCAAACUUCAAAGCGACAGGCUUCAGAUCCUGACUUCUCCUUUUGUUCGAACCUCCCCAAGGUCAGCGUCAUUAUUUUAGAAACUGCAGGGACCUUGCGAUCCAUCCAAAUGGCAGCCCAAGUAGUCAAAUAGACUUCUGCAUGUCAGGCAAAGUGUUCCAUGCCAUCACCUGCAUCCCACAGAGACUCGGCUCUUAAAGGACACGCGGAGGUGAAAAUAGCCAACGAGUCGGUGCCCAGAAGAGCAUUAACAAAAACUGUUUAACAAGGGUGUUUGGAGGGGUCAGUUGCUAGGCUGAAAUGCAGGGAAUUCUGUCCCCUUUGACUUUGCAAAGACCUUGCAGGAGUCACAACCGGGCAGCUGUAGUGACUGCAGGAGUCAAAUGUAAGCUUGAUACUGGCUGGCAGCCAAUCUUGAAAUUGUUUUCAGUUUAGUAAAACAAAGCUACGAAACCCACCAAAAAAACUCAAUCUAUGAGAAGGAUGCCCCUCCUUUAUAUUAAGUCUGUUUUAUUCUGCAAUCCUCCUCUCCCCAGACCCUGCAAUCAUCAUCUGAGGCCCUUCUUUCCGUGGUUCCCCCAUGAGAGGUCCAGAGGGGGGUAACAUAAGAAAGGGCCUUUUCUGAGGUGGCUCCCUAUUUGUGUAAUGCUCUGCCCAGAAAGACUCACCUGGCUCCUUCGUUACAUAUCCUUAGACACCAGGUAUAAAAUUUUAUCUUCUUCCUGGCCUUUGGCUAAUUAAACAAUCUAUGGCCUUUUAAACUGUGGAAGAGUAUUGUUUUCAUUUGUUCAUCUGCUAUGCAUUUUUUUGUUUUUAUAUGGUAAACCACCCUGUGAUCUCUGGAUGAAGGGCGGUACAGAAAUUUAAAAUAUGAUGAUGAUGAUGAUGAUGAUGAUUAGGGAGCAAGUCCCAUUGAACUCAGUGGGAUUUAUUUCUGAGCAAGCAUAUUUAGGAUCACGCUUAAAUGUUACUUUUCUUUUUUUGUGGGGGGAGGACCAUACCUCAGUGGUAGAGAAGCUGCUCUGCGUGCAGAAGGUCGCAUGUUUAACCUAUACCCAUUCUGAAUGAGUAGCAGAAAAAGACUGGCUCUCAAACUGGUCCAUAUACUCUCUAUCUCUCUGCAUAUUGAAGGGUCUGGAAGAUGGGGAAAGCAGGGAUUUGUUGUUGUUUUUUUAAAUGAUUUUUAUUAAAAUUUCAGUAAAAGAUUAAACAGAAAAACAUAAAAAAAGUACACAAGUACACAGUAAUCCAAAGAAGAAUAAAAAAACACAGAAAACAAAAAAAGACAAAAAUUUAAAAAAAAACAAAAAAAACAGGACAAUUAAAAACAAUAUCACCUUUUCAUUUCCAUUUUUAAAUUUACUUAUUUUCUGGACCUCCUCAUACCUCCCUCUUUUGUAUUCCAGUCCAAAUUGUUUGUCCAGCAAUUUCUUUUCCACUUUUUUAAUCCCAAUCUUUAAUCUUAAUAUAAUAUAGCAUUAAAAAUUUUACCUCUUAAAUACCAAAUUUCCAUUUCCUUCAACUUCUUUAAUCCUAAUCCUUAAUCUUAGUCUAUCUAUAAACUUUGAAUCCUGUACAGCUGGAAACCACUUAUUUUUAAUCCAACAUCACUCUAACAUUCCUUAAUUUUGCAGUGUUUCUGUAGAUAAUCUUUGAAUUUCUUCCAGUCUUCCUCCACCGACUCUUCUCCCUGGUCACGGAUUCUGCCAGUCAUUUCCGCCAGUUCCAAGCAGGGAUUUGGCCAGAAGGACCAUUUGCUGAGAUGCUGGGUGAUGACUAUCAGGUGAGGUGACCUUCUCUGUAUUGUUUUGUAUGGUUAAUAGCAAGAGAUGUGCAAAGUUACUGGCAUGGGUGAUUGAGCAACCCGAAGUGCAAUUUUGGUGCAAUCACUAGGCUGUGCAAAAAGGAUGGUGGUAUAUUUAAUAGGGCUUGUGACAUAUCUGUCUUACAGAACAGGUGCUCUAUCUGAACUAGCAUGCAUGGAGGCAAUCCCUUAGCUUUGGGUUGCUAGGAAAGACAGGGAGUUGUGAUACCAAAGUCUGGAACACCACACAAACCACCCGAAUGUAGUUACCAGAUUGGAUAAAGAAUUUAUUUGAGAAAAUUCUCAGCUACCAACAUGAGAUGAGCUCAGUGGUAGAGCACAGAAGGUCUUCAGUUCAGUCCUUGGCAUCUCCAUGCAAGGUGGAAAAGUACACCUGCCUGAAACCCCAGAACUGCUGCUUAUUAGUCAGUGCAGAUGAUACUGAGCUAGACAGAGAAACAGCCUGUCUCACUAUGAGGCAGCUUCCUGAUAUGGAUAAUGAAAUCUCAACAUAAUCAACUAUUCAGAGCAAUAUAAUUUUAUUGAGAAUUCUCUUUUGGAAAAAUGGGGUGAAAAAAAGGAAAUAAGAUUGCCACAGUUGUCUCGCCCUUGUGAUCUGAAUUAGAUUAUGAGAGCUUUCAUUUUAAAAGUGUCUUGGGAAUGUUGAAAUAUGGGAAAUGCUCAGGUUGGAAUUUUAUAGAGCUUUUUCUAAAGAGGGUGCCAUUGUAAUAUACCAUGAAUGUUAAAUGCUCGACAUGCAGACCCUACACACAUACCUACCUUCUUGGGUCCCCAACUAGACGCAGCUAGAGCAUAGCCAGUGAAGAAGUGAAACACAGUGAAUGCAUGGUUAGAUGCUAAUGGAUGCUUUUUUGCCUUGGGGAAAACUGAUACUGGUGGCAGGGGGAGAAUCAUGCGGUCUUGGCACCUCACUGCUCUCUCAUGCUCAACUCGUAUUUUUUUAAAUAAAUAGGGAGCGAGCUUCAUUGAAGUCAGGGGGGUGUACUGCUGAGGGGAGAUUUAUAACAUUGUACUGUUAGGGACUGAAAGAGGGGUGUUUGGUUAGCCCAGGGCUCUCAAAGGGUGUUGUGUGUGACACAGGUGUGACAGGAAGGGAUGACAAGGGAAGAUUCAAGGACAGUCAAAGAGUCAUUUAAACAUUUCAGUGUAUAUGUGUGUGUGCGCACGCACACACACACACACACAAAAUAUAAAGCAGAAUAUGGAUAGAUAUCUUUUCAAAAUGAGGGCAAGAACACCAAGUGAAAAUGAGGACAAUCCCAGUGGCGAUCCAGAAUAACCGUUUGAACAAAGUGAAAGAGAACACUCGCUUAUAAUUAUAUUUUGGGAAUGAUUCAUGUUCUUAUGUAGCUGCAUUGUUUUAUACUUUCUGAAUGUCCCAUGAUCAUAUUAUAAAGUAGUUGUGUUCUGUGCUAUAAAUCAAGCACUGCUGGGAGCUGUAUCUUUUUGUUUUCCAAUGCAUUUCUUAUCAUUGGAUAAACCCGAGCAAAUUUUUAUUCUGAAAUUGUGGCCCAGAAAGAAAGAAAAAGUUUGAGAACCACUGGAUUAGCUGGUGUGUUUGAAGAUGACAUUCCAUGGCUGGAAUCACAUGAGUGCUCUUCUGGGUUGAUCUUCAUGGCUGACGAGAUAUCCCUGCUAUACAGCAACAAAAGAAAAGAAUUUACCGUAUUUUUUGCUCUAUAGGACGCACUUUUUCCCCUUCAAAAAUGACGAGAUGGACGAGAUGGUUGGACAGUGUUCUCGAAGCUACAAACAUGAGUUUGACCAAACUGCGGGAGGCAGUGGAAGAUAGGAGUGCCUGGCGUGCUCUGGUCCAUGGGGUCACGAAGAGUCGGACAUGACUAAAUGUCUAAACAACAACAAAGCUUAGACCUGCCCCACAAAAUUAAAUACAACACUUAAGUUCAGGGCAUUUAUGUUUUCAGCUUGGCAUCUGUUUUUGUUUUUUAACACAGCAGUUCAGGGGCACCCAAGUCCACAGAGCUACUCAGGACUUUAGGCAGCCCUGGUCCAACUCAAGAUGCCCUGUUAACAGGACAUGUGGAAACCUCACCUGACUCAUCCCCAUCUGCUUCCUGAUUCAGGAAGUUCAGAGCGCCAAUGCACACCCUUCGUGCCCACUCUGUUCUUCCUGAUUCUUCUAAUCUUUGUAUAAAUUUGCCAUUGACUUUCUUUCUUUUCCUGCUGCUUUGCUCAUUUUCUAUGUUCCUUUGGAAGCAGAUGUCAGAGAAGGCUCCAUCCUUUAUCUAACUCCCAUCGAUUUACAUGCGACCCCCUCUUGUAUCACGGGGAGGAUGAAAAGGCACAGCACAGCAGGCUCUUUCUGCACCAAGGGUGCAGCAGGUGUGCAACUCAAUUGGGAAGCAGGCACAAUUGAGUCGAGUGCACAGAGGAUGCGGGAAGAGAGUUCCCAUCAUGGAAAACAGGGCAAGGUAGAAAGACAAAUCAGGGAUGAGCGCUGUAAAGAGGCAUCUAAUCUAGCUCGGCUAAAUGCAUCCCACUCAUGAAAGUCAAUGGUAUUAAGCAACAGAUGCACAUGGUUUAUAUACAGCAGACUCUGUUGCAACAUUUUAUUCACAGUCUAUAAUAACUCUGCGGGAGAGGCAAGGUUAUAUCAGGGCAAAACCUGGGUGGGAAUCAGAGCUGGCUUCCAGAAAUUUUCCACUCUGUUAGUGUUGAAGGAGGAGAAAUUACCCAGUGGCCAGAUUUCUGAUGGGGACACCUGGCAGGCAGCAUAUGACACCAUAGUUGAAAUAUCAGCACUGGUGUAUUCUCCAAUAUCCCGCUGAUGAAAAUCAGGACGCGGGACCUCCAGAUCCAAUUCAUGGAAGGGAUCACACUUUUGCCCCACCAGCCCGGGUCAAAAGAAGCAGGGGGGCUGAAUUCGUGAGGGGGCAGGCUCCCCACACCCCAGGCCAAAGCACCAGCCAGGACAUACCUCAGGGUGUGCACAGGUUCAGCAGUACGAAGGCAAACAGGAGCCAGUGGGCAACAAGAGCCGAUCUGCUCCUACCUCCGGUUCAAAUCCCCAUUCCUGCUGCUGUUGGGCACAUGUCCACACACACACACGCCAGCCCAAUGCAAAAACACAUCUUUGGUUCCCGUGCUCUCGCACAAACCAGCUGACUCGCACAAGAGCAUGGGACCAAAAAUCAGGACAUUCAGCCAGAAGCCGGGAUGGCUUCUGUAAUACCAGGGUGUCCCAGUCAAAUCAGGACAGUUGAGGGGUAUGCACAGUAGGCGGGUAUGUUGCCUAUCUACCAGUGAGCUAGGUUCAAUGGUAAUGGCAAAUGACAGCAGCAGAAAUUGUUCCUGCAGCCUGACCACAAUGUUGCACCCUCCAGAACACCCUGGGGCAUUGUAAGAGGAAUGGAAGCCACAGUGUAUGCACAAAAUGGUGGAAGACAUAUGGACACUGGGCGGAGGAAGGCGGGUGUGGAGGGUGCGGUGCGCACCAGGUGUCAGCCAUGAGGGCGGGUGACAUCGCCGUGCCACCGUUCCUGCUUGCUGUGCGGGCAGUCCCCCGGACGCUCACCGCAUGGGCAGUGCCCUCGGAAGCUCGCUGCACAGGUGGCAGACCACUAGGGACAAUGCUGCCGCGGGCAGCUGGCAACGGCCCUCCCAACGCUCACCGUGCGGAUGGCAGGUGGCUAGGGAAGCUCGCUACGGGGGUGGCAAGCGGUGCCCCCACUCGCCACACGGGCAGCGGGCAGCUAGCCCCACCCCCGCGCCGCUCCAGGUGCUGGGGCAGGUAGCUCCGCCCCUGCAUAUGGAGCAAAUUCUGUAGAAUUGCCUUUUUAUUAUGCAGUGAAUAAAGGAAAAAAUAUUGGAAAUCUCAGGGAUUGUGAGAAAUUUUGGCUCAGCUCUAUUGGGAAUAUCUGUGAGUGUUGGGAGGAGAUGCUGAAGAUGUGGAAAGUGAAAGUCAAGCAUGACUGUUCCCCAUAUCAUUGGAUGGUGCUCUGGCCACCAGCACCGUUCUAGUUUUGCUUGAGCUUCAACGGAAGUGCACAAUUUAAGUGCUGCACCAAGUUAGAAGCUUCCAGCUCUUAUAGAGGUUAUUUGCAACUGACAGUUCAGUUGGCUAGGCUGAUCGCCAGUCACCCUCCCAAUGAGAGCUUGCCAAGACUGGAGAUGCCAUCUUAAUGGGAAAAGCAUUACGUGAAUUAGAUAACGCAUGAGAAGAUGUGAGAUCAGCAAAGAUCGGAGCCUCUCUCGCUGAGUUAUGACAGAGAUAUUGACUCAGCACUAGAGAUGUAAGAUUUCUGGAAGUGCUGAAGCCAUAGAGAAAAUACCACCCCGCCUAAUUUCUGCCCUGCUGCCCUCCCUCCCCAAAGAGCCCAUUUGGCACAUGUCUUGUAUUUAAAGGUAUAAGGGUACAAUAGUGGAAACUAGUCAUGGAACAAAAGUUUUUUUAAAAUAUUUUAUUUUUUGCAAUUUUCAGUUGUACACACAUUAAAAUCAAAAACAGCAAAAACAGGAGUAUCUGUGUGGUGUUUCCCUCGUUUUACACUUCGGUUUUAUCAGUGAGACUCGAUAUGCCUUUCACUCCUUCACAUGCAGGUAUGGAAAUGUUUGGUCUUUUUACGUAAUUCUGUACAGGGCUGUGUAUAGAAUAUGAUCCCCUGUUUUAAGCUAGUAUGAUAUAAUGCAGUCUUCAGCAAUUUGGUACUCUCCAGCUGUUGUGGACUACAAGUCCCAUUGGCCAUUGCUGAUGGUCAAGGAUUAUAGGAAUUGUAGUCCAAAAGUAUGGAGGACACCAGGUUUGGAAAGCUGAUAUAUUGGGUAGCUGGCCUCUGACUGGAAAGACCUGGGGCCACAUCAUACAUUCCAUUCCAAUAUACACCUAAGAUGUGUUAAGUGAACAUCCAAAUAUGAAAAGUGUGAAUAAAACAAAUGCGUUUGCAGACCUGAAUCUGGUACAAUGGUACCUCUAGAUAUGAACAGGAUCCGUUCCGGAGCCCCAUUCGCAUCUAGAGGUAAACGUAUCUAGUGAUGGCACGUCUGUGCACGUCUGCGCCGUUUUUCACUGCUUCUGCGCAUGCACGCGAUGUCAUUUUGAGCGUCUGCACAUGCGCAAGUGGAGAAACCCGGAAGUAACGCACUCCGUUACUUCCAGGUUGCCGUGGAGCGCAACUCGAACGUGCUCAACUUGAAGUGUAUUUAACCCGAGGUAUGACUGUAUAGGUAGACACGUCUGAGAGUUGCCAUUGGCUAAUACUCCCUGUUAAGCACACACUGGGUGGUAUUUCAAGCAGCACGAUCCUAGGCAUGUCUGAUUAGGAAUAAAACCUACUGAGUUUAAAGGGAGCAUAGCUUAGAUUUCCCUUUGUGUAAUCUAGAAAGUGACGCUUAGUCAUGAAACUCACGGGUUAGGCUUGGCAAUAUCAAUGUACCUCAGUCUACCCUAAAUGGUUGUUGGGGGCAUAAGAAGCUAUAACCCUCUAACCCCAUGCACCCCUCUCUGAGCUCCUUGAAGGAAGGGCAAGGUACAAAGGCCACACACACACAUACACACACUUCAUCAGGAAAACACAACUUCUGAAAACCUUUAAAGCAAAUAUGUUUACCAAUUUAUUCAGAGUCUUAAUCCCCCACCCCACCCCCUGUUCCUGAAACCUCAGCGCAGAUGAGAACAUUUGGAAACAAAAAGAAAAUAUCACCUAAAUUAACAUCUAAAGUCACAAAUCUCUGUGAUGGAGGAGUCAUCGGAGCAGAGUCACUGGCAUGUUUGCAGAGCCGGCCUCCCUAGGAAAGUGCAGCGUGGCCGGGAAUUAAGCCUUUAGUUCAUAUCUCUCUUCUAAAUGAAUCAAUUGCUCAAACGUUUUGCAACACAAACUCUUCCACUCCAGUACUUAAGGAAAGGAGCAGUUUGCCUUAACAGAAACAAAUAGGAAUCAUUUCAACAGGAUGAAAAAUUGGGCUUGACAGACACAUUUUGCUUUCAUGUUCAGCCUCCAGCUAACGUCGUAUUAAAGAUUAUGGGUGGAUUUAUUUAUUUAUUUGCCUCCCUGGUGUCAUGGAUUUGUGACUUUCGGUGUAGGGGGAAGGGAUGUAUUGUCCUUCAGUGUAUACCUGUGUGGUAUAGUUCACUUGUUUAAGGCACCUGAGUACAACUUCCUAAACGUAUUCCUUCUUUCACUGCACAGAUGCCCUUUUGCUCUCUCCUUGCAGCAGUAUAAACUUGGGUAAUAGGCUGCCUGCAAUAAGUGCUUAGAAAAAGGGAUUUUGCCUAGUGGUCCUGUGAGAUGCUACACAAGCAGUUUAGGGCCCAGGUCUGGAGAUCUCCAGGCAAAUCUGGUCCCCAGGCAAAUGAUUCCUGACAAAUAGCCACUGCUGAUUCAAAGAGAGUGAUGUAGUGCAGUGGUGAGGAGCCUCCAACCUCUGGGUUUAAUUAGACCUGCCGGGCCUCCUGGUUUGGCCCAUGAGGCUGCUUGGAGUUGGCCAAACCCACCUGUCACUCAUCUGACAUCAUCUGACAUCAGCUGCAAGACGGGAUAUCAGACGUUUACAGUGACCAACCAGAUGGCUUUGGGAAGCCUGAGAGCCACAAUGUUCUUCCCAUUUGUGGUUCCCAGUAUACUGUCUCUGACCAUGGAGGUAGAACAUAAUUCAAUGCUUGCGAAGGGACACCUGAGGCAGUAGACUAGUUUAGGAAACAUGCAAUUUAUAUUGCUCUGUCCAACAGCGGUGAAUGACUUGGGGUGGGGCCUUAUGAGAAGCAGCCAUCAUCUGCCACCUGAGGUGGGUUCUUCACUCUAUCUUAUAGUAGGUCUGACCCUUUCAUCCACUUCAUAACUAUUUUCCAGGGAAAUGAGAAAGCGCUGAGAUUCACCUCUGCCACUGGCAAGACAAACACAGUAAAGUUACUACUUGGUUGUCUUGUUUUCACACAUGGACCAUUUUCAGUCAACCCCGCUUCCAUAUCAAGAGACACUUGAUACAAGACUCAUGGAGUGGGCCUCUCAGAGGCCUAUUUAGAGUGAAAGAGGAAGGACUCUCUCAAAGACUUCCUUUGGAAUGGAGAUAUUCAGGUGUGUGGGGGGGCAACCAUACCAUGACAUACAAUUUCUUAUUCCUUCCCACAAAGAACAGAAUUGUGGGGGAGUUGCUUUUGGUAUUUUUUUUGUUUUUAAGCCCAACUAUAAAUUUCUAGAAGCUGGAGGUUUUUUCACUGGACUUUAUCUUUCUUUCCCAGUCUCUGCAUCAGAGAAAAGAAAAGGCCUUUGAAGGCCCCAUGGUCCAACAUUUUUCACACUUGAUUCCCUCCCUCUGUUCCUCUCUUAUUUUUCUGGCAAUAAACAACAGCUUGGCUUCAACAUCAAAACUUCCAAAGUUCAGUUAGUAACACCAUUGCCAAGGUUAUUUCACAUCUUGUAUGAGUUACCCUGGGAUGGUGGCUUGGGUUGGGGGAUAUCUACCUUUAGGCAAUAGGAAUUCAAAUACCAUAUUAUAUAUAACUGAUUGAGCCAGUGUAAUGCCAGCUGGUUCUCUCUAAUGAUACCAUAUAUCAGAAAGGACUUACACUAUAUUACCUGCCAUGUGGUGGAUGUAGUCAUUUGCUACAGAACUUGUAGAAACAAACAUCUGAAAGGCCAGCAGGAAUUCUAGCCCAGUGGCUUUCAUUCAGAAAGAAACCAGAGGAGAGAGGGAAGGAGGGAGGGAGGGAGAGAGAGAAUCGAACGACUUGGCCAGAAACUUUAGUUCCAGCAGCUGCCCACAGUCCCUAGCAGAGUCCCAUCACAACUCUCUCUCAACACCACCCGCUCUCCUUCCAGAGGUGUCUGGCUUCUUCUUGGCCAUGGUCAAAAAAUGUGUGGGGUUGGAAGGUGCCUCUUCAUUGGUGGCUGUGGCAGCUGUUGUAACUAAUAGCUACAACAGUCAUCAAGGCUUUUCACCAGAAGGAGGCUCAUUCACAGAUUCCUAUGUGAACCAGGGCUGUGAGGGCUGCCUAUUUCUUAAUCUGGGCUGCUUCUGAGCAGCAGGCCAAACCUUCAUUUUUAAGGAGGAGUAAAUACCUGGCAAUAAUUUAGACACAGAGCAUUUGCUUACCCCUUAGCUUCUUCUGCCUUUCCUUUGCAGUACUAAGUUCCAGAUGGUCAUUUUUUUUUUAAUCAGCCAUAGCUCACUAGAAAAAUGAAUACAUUUUCUAAAUAAGGUUAAGAUGUGACUGUAAGGUGUAAAAUUAAGUGCAUUUUCACUUUAAUGUGCAUGUGUAGAUGGGGGGGUGAGUCUGUUCAACUCUGUGGUCUGUGGGUUUCAUAUAUACAUAAAAAGCAAUUCUUAUCUGUGAGUUCCUUCAAAAAUGAUAAAAUUAUUCAAAACAUAAAUUAAAAGUAAAAUAUCAUCAGAAAUUUGUAAGAUAUAACAAAAACUAAUAUUUGUAAAACUGUGACCCUCAAAGCCCAAUGCUUUGUCCCUCUGAGGUUUGUGCCCUAGACAGCUGCCAAGUUGGCCUAAUGAUAUAGCACCAGCCCUGUCUUCUGGGCAACUUUUGGGGGUCCAUUUGCCAGUGGUGGGUGGGGUGAUGAACAUAAAUGUUAUGUAUGCUAGUUUCCACACCAGAGCUUUCUAAACUUUUCAUGUUGGUGACACUCUUUUUAGACAUGCAUCAUUUCACGACACAGUAAUUCGGUUUUACUAGCAAACCAGAGAUUAAACUAACCCCUUUCCAGCCCUGGGACACACCUAUACACUGCAGCUGGUACACUAACACGUUACGACACACAGUUUGGAAAGCUGUGUUUUACACUAACAUACCUCUCUGUACUUCAAUGAGGGAAGAAGAAGGUAUUACCAGAGGACAGAUUCCAGCCAGGCAAAAACACUUAAGGAAGCUAUGAAGCAGGGCCAAUUUAGGGGUGGCUUGGGGUCAGAGUGGUGGCUUGGGGAAAGUCCCAAGGGCCAGUUGAACAGGCUUGCAGGACUGCAUUCAUCCCCUGGGUCUAAGGUUCCCCACCCCUGUUGUCAGAGGGUGGGACACCCAUUCCGGUGGCUUCAUCCCUGUGCCUCUCAAGUUAGAAAUUAAGCUCCAGCUGUAACCCACGCAACUGUAUUCUGUUUGUGUUGGCAAAUAAGCUGAGGCAAUUUCCAGGGUGACCUUAGCGGCAAAUUGCCCCAGAAGGAAGAAAGGGGAAAGAAAGGAGGAUAAAAGAGCAUGCAGACAAUAUAUGUAUUUAUUUCUAGGCUCGGGAUUAUUUCUUGAUUAAUUUGCAACCUGCUGCUCAUUUGCUCCUAUUCAUUUCCUACUUAGCAUUUAGAGGAGUGUGCCUGACGAAGAGAACUUUCAGCAUGAAAUUUGUGUGAUGUUGGGAGCAGGCAAGUAAUUGGCCUGGAAAGAGCAAAACAAAACAGCCUCCAGGAAAGAAUAUGAACCUAAUUUGAAACCUUUUAAAGACAGAAAAUGGAUGUAGAUUCCCAUCAUCACACAGCUAACAGUUGCACAACAUAAUAAAGAAGUAUUACGAAAGCUGCCGGGUGCUAAAAUGCAAACAUUAUUUUUUUUAAUAAUAAUGUAAAAAAAGAAAAGGAAAAAAAAGCUCCACAUAUCAAAUACAGAUGCAGAUAAAGACCUAAAGUGGUCUUGCAAAUUAUAGGCUUUCAUAUCCCUCUAUUUUAUAGUGUGAUAUCAUCGAUAUUAACAGGACAAUAUAUCAUUACAAGAGAGGGUUGGCUAGCUGCCUUGAAGGAAGGAGCCUCAAAACUGUUCAGACUGCAUUUAUCCUGCAGCAAAUUGUAUUGGAGAGAGGGGAGCUGUUAGGUGUACUGUUCCCAUGGCAGAACAGAUAACUCCAACCCUAGGUCACCUAUAUAUUGUGCCCAGGUGGGGAAGAUGGAGCCUGCAGUUGACUGGUGGUGCCCUUCCCUACUGGUGCAUGGGCCUUGGCGGGGAGCCAAGUAUUCCAACCACUAAUGCCAGCCCUCAGACAGGGGCUAGCGCUAUUUCUUAGUGGCCUCCAUUGAGUUCCGCAAGGCUAAGAAAACUGGCUGUGGUCUCAGAAACAAUUAAGGUAUGAAGUGAGGGUAUGAUGCUCACACAAACCAGUGGGAGAAACCAGGAAGAAAGUUUAACCUCUUCCAUAAAAAUAAUUUCCAGUUCCCUUUUCCCUACUGUUGAAUCUUAUGCAUCCACAAUGCAAUUGGAUACUGAAGGGGUAAACAUGGGGUUAGUUUAGCAAACUAGUUUGUCAAAUAUUCUCUUUCUCAGAAGUGAUUUGCCUUUAGUGGGUGGGAUGGAGAGAAGCAGAUUUCUGGAGCUCAGAAACUGAAUGGGAUAUGGAAAUUUAUAAAUAACUUUUAAAUGUGUGGCUAGAACUGGAUUGGGGAGAUAGUUUAUAAAGCUGAUGUUUAAUAUUUUUAAAGUGUUCUAUACAGGGCUGGAUUUAGAUGAAGAGAGGCCCUAGGCUACGCCACUUGUGAGGCCCCUCCCCAUCCCUCACCCUCACAACCAGAAGAAAAUGGAAGAGUGUUAUAAACAAAAUUGAGUGAAGUCAAAGAUGAUGGUGGGUUUUUAAAAUUCUGCAAUUCACAAUUUCUCCUUUAAAGAACAUAAGAUAUUAUUGAGUUGCCCUGCCCUCACAUGAAGUCUUGGGUUUUCAAUUUUGUGAGAGGGGAGACUGCAGCUCUGGGGAGCGGGCAGCCUGGUGAGGCCCCCUAGAUUUAGAGGCCCUUGGCACUGGUUCUAUGCACCUUAUAUUGAGGUGUCAGUGUUCCUAGAGCAGCAAUGUGCUGCAUAAUGUUUGGUAUUUUGCACAUUUUCUUUUUUAAAAAAAGAGUGUUAACAUUUUUUAAAAAAAUGUUGAAAGGAAGUGUUCUUAUAUUGAUUUCAUUCUGCAUUUAUUGAAAUUUACACAUGCCCCAGAGUGAGACGUUUUUGUCGAAACCCUUUGGACAAUGUAUUUUUUUAAGUAAUAAAUUAUCUUUCAGGCAUUAGUUUGAGGUUUAUCUCCCUCCUUUUUGUUUUUCUUCUAUAAAUAAUCUAAAUUGAUUGAGCCUAGAUAUAUAUGUCAUGAUCAUACCCAGGUCAAAAAAAUUUUUGUUUGCCAUGGCCUUUCUGAACUGAUCACUAAUGCCCUUAUGGGAUUCUGUUUUCUUUCUUUCUUUCUUUCUUUCUUUCUUUCUUUCUUUCUUUCUUUCUUUUUGCUUUAUUGUAUUGGGGGCUGUUUGUUGUUGGGUUUUUUAUGACUUCGUAUGGUUUUAAAUCUUUGGGUACUUUUAAAAACUGUAAAUAUUGUAGAUGAAGAUAUUCAUUUCUAGUAUUUGUACCCUGCUCCUGAACUCAAAGGCUCCCAAAGACAUUUACAUAGAAUAAAUUAAAAUGAAAUCAGGAAGUGAGCUGGGGGAAACAACCCCAUAACAAUCAGAUGCUAUUAUAAAGUGCAAUAAUCUCUUUGAGAUCUUGAAAAUAACCCUGGCCAUAUGAUGAGCUACCUAAGUAUGCAUCAAUAGGCAAGUGGAAUCUGUGGAUGGCAUUGUUUACAUUAUAAACAAAUUGCAAAAAAUAACAAUAUUUGUGUUCUUGUUUAUUUGACAAUUCAUGGGUUUCACCCAGAAUUGUGCACAUAUUGGCGUAAACACAACAUGAGCAAAACCAUAUGUAUUCACUGGGACCUGACCACAUAACAGAAUGUGGGAAGAUCUCAUCUCAAUUUAUUUUGAUUAUGUAAAGCAGAACUGAGGCGGCAUAAGGAAGCCAUAUUUGCUGCAACUGCCCUCCUGAAAUGUACCAAGUUGGCUAUAUUCUGCCAACUCGGUUAGAAAUAUAAAUACAACUCAUUAAACUUUUCAAUUCACUUGCUGCAACUUUUCAGCAAAACUCUUCUACAAUUUCACCAGACCUGUUGAGUGACUUAAACAGGGGUUUUCUCCCAUCACAUUUUCCAAAGGCACCAUGGUACACCUGAAUCAGCACAACCGGACACCUGCAUCGCUCCCCAGCGACAGCAAAAUAUGCCUCUCUUCCAUAUUGGUCUCUACAGUCACAGCAGGCACUGUAAUUUCCCAGUGGUUUUACUUCACCCCCAAAGGCACACUCUUCCAUUGUCUCAUGAGACAGGCAGAUACUAACUAUUUUGGAAAGUUGCUUGUUUGCUCUACAUUUGGAUACCUUUUAAAGUAUCCUAACCAAAUUCUACAUGAUCAAGGAGCAGGUUUCAUCUGUGGUUGGAUACAAUUGGGUGCCAUUUUCAAUCAAGAUGGCGGACAACUUUUCAUAGCUGCACUGAUUUUAACCACUGAUGGCGCUGAUUUGGGAGCUUCUUAGAAUUCCUAACAGCAGGUCCUGCAAAUGAUUUAUAAUUUCAGUUUUCUUUGCAGUUGACGUUUUGCGGAAACAUACAGUUAUGGCCAUAACUUGCCACUUAAAUUUCAUUCCCUCACUGCAGUAGCUGGAAUGGUCAUGAACAUAGAAAUACAGAGAGAGGAUAUUCUUCUGCCAUAAUGACCAAUGCAAAGCUGCCCCUUUGUUGUGGUCCCAUCAGUUGCCGCCCUUCUCAGAGCUAACCAGAAACAGCUUCACCACAUCAGGUUGGUUUGGCCAAGCCUAAAAGGUGCUCCUUUUUGAAAAAUUGAUUAACAAUGACACAUUUAAAAUGAUAGUGCAAAUUAAUUUCUGAAUUACACCAUUAGUAUGUAAUUAAUUUCUCUGCUCUGUGAAAUAAAGAUAUCACUGACGAGCACCCACUGUCUAAAUCUAUAAAAGAGAAAGGAUGCUGAAUGAAGACUCCAUUAAUGUAUAAAUUGAUUUUUCCAUUUAGCUUCUUCUGAGGGAUUUCUCCACCCCCCAGUGCAUUUAUUUUUUCCCCCUCCAAGGGGAUGGGGGAGUUGGAGAAGCAGCCUAAUUUAUACUUCCACUGGUAAUCAAAAGAUCAUGAAUGUUCAUUUCAACCAAAUAAUGUCAUUAUCAAGGCUGUUCAAGCCGGUGUUGCCGUGGAAACGUAAAAUACUGAUGCUUCAGGUUGGACAUUCGAGCUCUCUUGUGCAAGCACAAUAAUGAGGGGUGAAUGUUAUAGUGCCAGUUCUGGGGUGAGUGGGAGGGCCGCCACAGCCACCCUCAGUCACGUGGGUGCCUCAUUCAUGCACCUUGCUACUUCAAACUACUUGAAACGUGACCCUUCCUCUACCUAAGAUGACCUGUUUCCUCUUUAGAACAUAAAAGGAGGGAUGACCUUGAAGGCUUGAGAAAAGGAACACAGGUAGAGCAUCAUUAAUGCAGCUUGGAAAUUAACCAAACUAUGCAGCCGAAAAGUAGUAAGAACCCAAAGGUUGGUUUAUUUUUGUAAGCCACUUAAUGAGAAACAGUAUCGAAGCGAUGUACAUAAAACAGUAAAAGAAGGAUCAAUAAGAUACAGAAUCAACAACAUUUAAAAACAUAAUGAUGUGCCUAGAUACACUUGCUGAAAGUUUGUAUUGGACAUCUGAAGCAAUAUAGAACAACGGUCCCUGCCUAAUGGUAAUAAGAAGGGAGAUCUAAAGAAUGGGGGCUGCCAUACUGUGGAGAAAAAUGCUGUUCGGCACGUGUGAAAGGGCAAGCUCUGUAAAUCGAAGAAGGCACAUUAGGGCAAAGCAACCCCUCAGGCAAACUGGUCCCUACCCAUUAAGGGAUUUACAUACUAAUAGCUAAACCUUGAACUUGACUUGGCAGCCAGCACAGAUCUCACUCCCAUCAGCAAUUGUGCUGCAGCACUCUGCACUAGCUCCAGGCUAUCCACAAGGGAAGUCUCAUAUGUAGUGCAUUACAGUACUCUAUUAUUACCAAUGCCUGGACUACUGUGGGCAAGGUCUCCCAGUCCAUGAACAGCUGGAGCUGUUGCACCAGUCAAAGUUGGUGGAACGCAUUCCUAGCCACAGAGGUCAUCACCUAGGCCCCUGAUGACAAAGAUGACAAAUGGAUCCUUUAGAAGAAAUGCAAGCCCCAUACAGAGUUGGCAUCUUGCCAAUUUCUUGGACACAGGAGGCACUCACCUACAGUCCCUCUGUCCUGCCAGGAUUCAAUGUCAGUUCAUUUUCCUUCUUCCAGCCCAUCACAACAUCGAGGCUCAGGGCCUGCACAGCCUGUCCUCACCCAAGUAUUAUCAGCUUAGUGUCAUCAGCAUACUGAUGGCACCGUGCCCCAGAUCUCUUAAUGACAACUCCCAAUGGCUUCAUAUAGAUACUAUCAUAUUUUUUCAUGCAUAACACACACACACCAUGCAUAAGACGACCAAUCUAGUGAGACAGUCUCUUCCUCAUUCCAUUCUCAAUCAAAGUAAUGUACCAGGGUGUCCAAGACUGAUUUGGCCCCCAUAAAUAGGCCUGAACCCAGACUGGAAUGGGUCUGGGUAAUCAGCAUCAUCUAAGAAUGCCUGAAGUUGCCCGGCCAUGACCUUCUCCACCACCUUUCCUUAAGAAGGGGAAAUUAAUUUUUGACUUGUUGGCUGUUAGUCCAGAGACUCCAGAUCAAUGGGGCUGGGGCUAGCUACUUUAGGAGCAGGCGCCCCAUGGCUUCUUUCGUAUCAUUACCAGAAAUUUGCUCCAAGGAAGCAAAGUCUUGUGGCACAUCACUCAACCAUCCCAAUUAGAGUGGGACAUCCUGGAAUUACAGAAGUCAUCCUGGCUUCUGAUUGGAUCCCAGAAUGUCUGAAUUUUCGGUCUCACACUCUCACAUCCUGAUUUUGAUCAGCGUGAUGUUGGAGGGUAUGCAUCACUUAUCACAGGUGAUUCUCUCCUAAUGGGAGAAGGAGGUCAUGUAGCUGAGGUCAACAGCCGACCGGCUGUGCUCUACUGCUUACCUUUAUUACUGAACCCACUUGUGAACAAAAUCUUCCCUGUGGGCUUAAGCUCCAGGUCCUGAAACUGGUGCUACACGGCCAGCAUCCAUAUUUAUCGUUGUGCUGUGUCAUUUAUGCAGAUGAUCCUUUGACUGAUAUGCAGCAUUAUUUUAACGGCAGCGAGCUAUUUUAAAAUAUACAUGCCGCUCUAGAAAUAUGCCCGCUCUCAUCGCCACCAGGAGAAGAUGAAUGGGAACGCUUUAAAGAGAAACCAGGUACUCCAUCUUGUCGGAAACGUUGCUUCACACUUGCAAAAGUGCCGAUCAGAAGCGCCGGAUCUUUUGCAGCUGAUGUUCUAGCAACUGAAGCGAACCCCUUGUCCCUGCUCGCAUCAGGCAUCCUGCCCUGCAGAUCUUAUGGAGGGAAAACAGUUAGAAACCAGGUCCAAAAAGGAAGAGGAAUUAAAAGAAUAAUUUAAAGCAGAGGCGGGAAAACCUUUUUCAUCCUGAAGGCCACAUUCUUUUCUGAGCAACUUUCAAGCGGCCACAUGCCAGGGGUUGGUGGGGCCAGAGCCAACAGUGAGAGAAGCAAUGAAUGCAAAUUUUGCCUUUGUACAGUAGACUAGGGACUCAGCUAUACAGCUGCAAAUAGAACGUUUUAAAUGUGUUGUGAAGUGCAAUAUACAAAUGUGACACUAGAUGGCGACAGUGAGCUAUGCCAAAUUCAAUGUAUUUUUUGAAACGUUCUGGGGAAAAACAUUUUCAAAGUGUUUUUAUAUGUGUGUGGAUUCCACCUAGUUUCUUCACACACUCACACAACUCUCUCUAUCUUCCUUCCAGGCAAGCAAGAGUCAUUAUCAGAGUCCAAGGGCACUUUUUCAGGCAGGGAAAACAUUUAAGUAUGACGCAAAACCAGGUCAAUGAGUGAUGUGGCUUGGGGAGAGGAAGUGUGGCUGUGCAUGGGGUGAAGUCCUGAAGUUCUCUCCCCCCUCCCCCGCUCUUCUGCAUUCUUAUAACUCUUGCUUAGUACAAUGAGCUUUAUACACAUUGCCUUGAUAGUUUUUGUAGCACUCUGCCAGAGCUAUAGGCAAUGCAUCUCCACAAUCCAGAUUUGAUUCUCUGGCUCGAUGGAGAGCCCCCUUCACCACCGAGCCCCCAAAGUGCUGUCACAUCAGACUCUGGUCAGCUGUUUCAAGAUCAAACUGUGUAAGAUUCAUUGCAUUUACUUAUUUAAUUAUUUCAUUUCAUCUCUUUUGCUCAUUGGGGAAAUGUGCUUGCCUUUUAAAAUCUUAAUAUGAUGUCCUGUCGGCAUCCGUCUGUCUCGGUGCAUCUUUGAGGGGUGAAGUCAAACUGUUGGAAGGUUGCAGGGCCUGCUGUGGCGGUAGAGAUCGAUAAGGGAGAGACAUGCUUAGUUGCAGCUGAGGCAGAUGAAGGCAUCAGUAGAGCAAGCCGGUCAGGUGCCUGGGGCGGUGCACGUGCCCUGCGCCCAGGGGCAGGGGCAGCCACCCGCGGGGGCGGGGCAGCCACCCGUGGGGCGGGGCCAGCCAGGGCAGGAUGCUCCACAGGGCCUCCGAGGAGUCUGCCUGCCUCCUUCCACUCAGCCGCCCUACAGCUGGGGGGGGAAGUGCCGGCAGACCAUUUGGGGCAGCACGGAGCCUGCAGGUGCCCAAGCCACCAUGUCACGCCCAGGGCGCACUGCAGGCCCCGCCAUGAAGAGAAGAAGAAGAAGAGUUUGGAUUUGAUAUCCCGCUUUAUCACUACCCGAAGGAGUCUCAAAGCGGCUCACAUUCUCCUUUCUCUUCCUCCCCCACAACAAACACUCUGUGAGGUGAGUGGGGCUGAGAGACUUCAGAGAAGUGUGACUGGCCCAAGGUCACCCAGCAGCUGCAUGUGGAAGAGCGGAGAUGCGAACCCGGUUCCCCAGAUUACGAGACUACCGCUCUUAACCACUACACCACACUGGCACCACACUACAUCACCACCGUGAGUGCUGCCCGGCAUUUUGUCACCUCCCCCCCAGUGGCGACACCCGGGGCGGCCUGCCCCCACUGCACCCCCCUUCCUCUGCCCCUGGAUGAAGGUUUCCAGUUGUGCUGCUGCAGAUGCACCAUAGCGUUUCUUCUCUCUACACUUCUCCUGGCGGUCAUUCCUCCUCUGGUCACUGCUACGGAUGCACAACCUGUCUGUCUCCAGGCACUGCAGUCGUCUGCAAGGGAUUCCCACAUGUGUCAAUGUUGCCAGCCUUCAUGUCACAUUUGCAGAUCUCUUUAUAACACAGAGUUGGUCUGCCAACGGGCCUGGUGCCUGAAGCCAUCUCCCCAUAGACGACUUCCAUGAUGUAUAGAGGGGCUUAUCCUAAGAGGGUGGAUAAGGUCCCCUCAUUAGUACACAUGCUGGAACUGGCAAUCAGGACCAUUAACAAGUUUUUGUAUUUAUAGUCAUGUAGGCCAUACACGGCAUUCAGAUACAUCGUUUGUCUUGGGCGCCUCUUUGGCAAAGCCCUUUUGCCUGGCACACUCAGCUCUGCAGAAGUUGUUCCUCUCCUAGUGUUCUGAGCACGAACACAAACAGCCAUUCAGAACAAUAGUUCAAAAUUAUUCAAAAGCAAUCAUGCACUCCGCUGAAACAUUUUGCCCUGGCAUCUCCGCCAGCUGCUCAUUCCAGAAAGAAAAAAAGGGCCUGCGUUGAUUUAUUAUUUUAUAUUAUUUAUAUCUGGCUUCUACAGCCCAAAGGGCUCCCAGAGUGACUUGCAAAUGAGUUAAAACAUGGCAAUCUAUUUCAAAGCGCAAAAAAACCAACAACUCCACAGCAGAGAGCAGAGAGGAUACAGAGACCUUGAAGAGAUCUAAAAUGCCUGGUCAAAUAAAAAAAGUAUUUAUCUGGCUCUGCAAAGGCAUCAGAUUCAGUGCUGGAUGAGCAUCCGCAGCAUGAGUGUUUCAGAGUCAAGGCACCACAACAGAAAAGGCCCUGUCACUGGUCACCACCUGCCUCACCCCAUAGGUGAUGAUGACUAAACACAAUAAACAGCCAUUCUAAAAGAGAGGCCUGUUGGCCAGCUUUGGUUUGUCUUGAGAGCCAGUGUGGUGUAGUGGUUAAGAGUGGUGGACUCGUAAUCUGGUGAACCGGGUUUGAUUCCCCGCUCCUCCACAUGCAGCUGCUUGGUGACCUUGGGCCAGUCACACUUCUUUGAAGUCUCUCAGCCCCACUCACCUCACAGAGUGUUUCUUGUGGGGGAGGAAGGGAAAGGAGAAUGUGAGCCGCUUUGAGACUCCUUCGGGUAGUGAUAAAGCGGGAUAUCAAAUCCAAACUCUUCUUCUUCUUCUUCCUCUUCUUGAUGGGCUCCAUGAUGUGCAGACAUGCUGUGGGUGAUCGUUGCCCCUUUAUCUGCGCAUUAGGAAAAGCUGCUCCUGCUUAAUUCCCGUUGUCAUACUCUUGUUAAACACAUAGGACCAAAGCCUAUGUUAAAGGACCAAAGGGUUAAAGUAGCAAUCCUGUCCUUCCACUCUGUAGCUUUUAUGGCUGGAAGGAACCAUGCAUGAGAACGCAGUCUGCUCGGAGGAGGGGAAGCCUGGGCUUCAUUCAGCACUCGAAAUGUCUUGAGUCCAGUAUGCCGUGGAGAGAACUCCCCCUUCCCUCAGUCCCAUUGCAAUCCAUAUGACUGAUUGAAAGUGCCGCCUUUGCUAGUUGCUAAAUCUGCCAUGAACCCACACUGAUUAAUGGCAGCAAUUCGAGUCAAGUGCCUGUUUUUUUACUGAGGCGAAGAACCAUUUGAGCCUGUUUGGCUCACUAGCCUCGUGGAAUGUAGAAGAUUUCCUGGAAAUCGGGCCCUGGGACUGCGGCCUUCAGGCACCUUUUAGAAGUGGCUGUUUGAGGUGGCAAGGGGGGGGGGGAGAGGGAGAGAGAGAUAUUUCUAGAAUGGCAGUGUGUCAAAUGUGGGUCCAGGCUUUGAAUGGCUUAGAAGAGCCUGCUGUUAAUAAUGGGAGAGAGGCAUCAUAGAAAGGGCUAUAGGCCCAUGACGCUGAGGCCUUGAGGUUCAAAAAUGGGAUCUAUGCUAGUGGGAAAGCUUGAAGGACACGAGGAGAUGAAACAAAGGGGCAAACUGCAGAAGUACGCCUGGCACCUUCACAAUGCAUUUUCUGUCAUAGGCUGAGGGCCCACCCCUUUGCCCUAGACUUUGAAACUUGAGGUGUACAUUUUUAAGACCCUUAUCCUAUUAUUAUUGUAAUCAGUUUUAAAUUAUUUUAAAUGUUGUGUUCUAAAUGGCAUUGACCUUAAUGUGAAGGGCAGGUUGGUAAUGGUAAGAAGAAGAAGAAGAAGAAGAAGAAGAAGAAGAAGAAGAAGAAGAAGAAGCAACAAUAGCUAUUGUGGAGGCCUUCUACUGGUGGCCAUGCCUACAAGUAACAAAUAGGUGCCAACUCCCUUUCUUCCUUUGGAGGACUUGGGUAGCUAAGGCAGUGCUAGAGGGAAGGAUGUUCCCAUGAAGGGAGAGAGAGACCACCAUGCACAAAGUAUUUACAAUGAGCAUUCAAAACCUUUGACAAACAUAAUCUCAGGAGAGAUGGGGGCAUGCUUAAGGGCUAAAGAGUAGAGACGCUGUAGUGGAAUUCGAAAUGUGUUCUGCUGGUCUCGUAGUCUUCACCACUGCCCUCCAUCAUGUGUUAGGAGGGACCAUGAAGUUGUGCCACUCCUCCACUCCUCACUCCUCAACAUCAUGCACAGCAUCUCCGAUAGUUGUUCUUGGUACUUGUGCAGCAUCAUUUUACAAAACCACCUGGAUUGAAAUGGUCUGCCUGGCUGGCAGGGGCUGAUGCUGGACCACCACCCAGGAACAGCAUAUUGCAAAGUGGGUGUUGGAGAAAUAGGCGAUUCCUCCGAAUCCAUAAUUUCUCCUUAAUAGUAGUCAUCCAGAUCCCACACAAAUGAACAAUAACUGCUUGUUUUGUGCAUGUGAUAAACCUAUCAUCAAGAAAGGCAUUAAAAGUAACAAGGGAUGCAAAUAUUCAGUCUACAUGGUAACCAUUUUAUGUCCAGAAGCAAGAGGAUGGAUAGCCCUUAAUUUCAGCUAAAUCAAGGCAGCUGUGCAUGCUAUUGGUAUCCAUCUACAGUAUCUUGAAACAUUUUUUUAAAAGGUUUGCUUAGCCUUUUUCAGCACCACAGAGGAAAUUACACACUGUGAUUCCCUUGUCUAUUAUUUCGAUUCAUUUUCAUGGCUUAUUUGGAGUCAUUUCUGGGACGGAUUGGGAGAUGCUUCAUGUGUUGUGGCAGACACACACACACACUUUUAUGGGGUGUGUAAAAUGUAUAUAUACAUAAUUGCAUAUAUAAUUAUUUUCACAGAUACUUAAAAACAAAUCAAGCUAUUACAGCACACACAUUAAAAAUAAUUGCUACUUACUAUAUGGCCGUGUUUCUAAGCUUUCCUGCUUUUUAAGCCGGGCCAGCUGCUCUAUCUUUUGAUUGUUUAACACACAUACUUCCUUCUUCAUUUUUUUAAAAAAGGAGUGCCCCAAAAGCUCUCACACAGCAAACGUAACUUUUAGCUCUUCGUUCACACUUGCAUGCUCAGUAUGUGGUGAUUGCCUUGCCUAGUACUGAAUGAGGUACACUGUUACAAAUGUCAGUUCAGACAUUCAGCUGCCAAUCAUCAAGUUUAGAGGGAUCCAGUGCAGUGCACAUGAAUGUGUGAAUGAAGAUUUCCAUUCAGGCUGUUGCCCCUCUGUUAAGUGAUUGUAAUUGUUUAAUUGUACGUUGAAAUGGAAAAAUAACUCAGUACGUGUACUGCUAAAGGCAUGGUAUGGAAACUUCCACUGAAGCUAAACAAAGGAGUUGCAGAGAGCCUAAUAGUUAAUGAUUAAGCGAGAAUGUAUCUUUGCUGGCUCUGUCAGGAGGUGUUUAACUUAGAUCAUAUGAGGCAUUCCAUUAUAGGUCUCCAUUUGUGGUGUGUUAGUAGCUCCUUGUUCUGAAGCACCAAAGAGAAAGGAUGUGCAAAUGAGUCUGUCUCCAGGAACACAGUCUCGGGCUGGAACGCAGGUUGUUUGGAGAGUCAGAGAUUUGUCUUUCUAGGAUAUUUUGCCUGUGCUGGAAUCAGCACAUGAUAUUAUGGAACUUUCUGGAUGCAACUUUAUUUGUUUUGGUACAAGUUCUGUUAGUCAACCUUUUGAACCAUAUUUUUGGACUGGACAAUUUUUAUUUCAGGGAUAGUCUGUUUGUAUUCAUCCUAUUGCUUCCAAAUGUGCAAUAUUAAUAACCUUAAUAUCACCCAGCAGCAGAAACCUGAGUUGCACAUCUCAGAGACAUCCAAUGAACCCUGCAGGUGAGUUGUGCAUUGAAUGCCUGCAACCUGGUGUGUCACGAUGAAUGGCAGAAGUGGGAGCAAACAGGCAGAAAAUAUUUCACUCAAUUUCAUCGCCAACUUUGGAGGGAAAACAUGAUGCGCUUUCUCACAUAAUAUGGUGCCUGUGCCACAAGAGGAAUGGGGCUUGCAUUGGUCUGUCACGCGUCAUUCCUGGGAGGCUCCACACUGUUGCCUCUCAUUGUAAAAGAGAAGUUGCAUCAUCAGAACAUUCCUCCCAUGACACGAUGCCGAUUCAUGUCCAGGGAAAAGCACAGUCUAUGGAAAGCGCUUCUGAAUUUCAAAGCUAUUGCUGUUUUCACUGCACACGGCACACUCAUUCAAAACAAAAUCCAUUCUGAAAAAGGCAGGACUUCUGCUAAGAUUUAUCCUCCCCCCAUUUGUGAAGAGUUCAGAAUUAGCAAAUGAUCCUGAAUUACCUGAGUCACAAAAUAAAGUUCGUGCAGCAAAACUUUUCCUUUCAGAGGAAACUUUUCUGCCCUCGCUCCCUCUAGUUGUGCCUCUUUCAAGCCUGCCCCUACGUCUCAUUACCAGCUUUGGUGGCAGCUUGGAAAAUGAUGAAGAGAUGAAGGUGGAAUCUAAAGUGACAGGAGACGGAUGAGUCUAGGCUUCGCUGGAAGUUAGGUUAAGCGAGGUGCUCGUUCUUUCCGCCACGAAGCCUGUCUCUACAGAAUUGCCUUGGAAUCCCUGCAGGGAAUCUAAUGGCGCUCUUUACUCCGCUCACUGAGCAGGAACCGGCAGCACCCAACAAAACCCUUCUUUACUGCCGCCAAUAGCAAAGCAUCCAGGCUACGGCGAGCCCACUGGGAUAAUCCCCAUUGUGAAAAAUCUUCCCUGGGAUAAUACAGUAGCAUCUCCCAGGGAGCCCACUUUGCAGCCGCAAUCACAAUUUGCAUAGUGCCAUCCAUUAUGUCCUGCAGCGCGACUCAGCUUUACAAAGCCUGCGUUUUGCUGAUGGGUUACUCUAAGAUGGCAAUAUCAUUCAUAGUCAAGGCUCCUGCGUCUUCUAACCAUAGGCUGGCAAAUUCGAGCCUGCAAGUGCAGUGGCUUCCCCCGCCUUUUUGUCUUAACAAAGGCUGGGCUUCUCUCCUGCUUAUAGGUUUCUUCAAACACAGUGCGUACACAUUUUCUUUUUCUUUUUUUAAAUUAAUAUUUUUUGCUUUUCCAACGAUUUAAACACUACAAAAACAAUACAAUACAAUACAAUACAAAAACAUUACGUAACAUUGACACAUUAAACACAUUAAACUAACAAAACAAAACAAAAACAGUUUAAAAUAAAUCAAACAAUUUCAAUAUCUUAUCUUUCAUUCACUUAUUUCCACGACCUCCUCACACCUCCCUUCUUGUAUUCCACUUCUGUUAAUUGUUUCAGCAAUUCCUUUCCAUCUUCCUCUGUUUUCUAUCCUAUAAUUAUCUUAACACAUUCUAACCUUAUUUUUCCUUUAAUACUCUAUUAAUCUAUUUAUACUUAUUUCCUUAUAACAUUUCUACUAAAGCCAUAUAAUUUCAUUCCAACAUUUUUCUAACAUUCAUUAACUUUACAAUAUUUCUGUAGAUAGUCUUUAAACUUUUUCCAGUCUUCUUCCACCAAUUCUUCUCCCUGGUCUCGGAUUCUGCCAGUCAUUUCCGCCAUUUCCAUAUAGUCCAUCAACUUCAUCUGCCAUUCUUCCCGGGUGGGUAAAUCUUGUGUCUUCCAAUACUUCGCGAUGAGUAUUCUUGCUGCUGUUGUUGCAUACAUAAAAAAAGUUCUAUCCUUCUUUGGCACCAAUUGGCCGACCAUGCCCAGGAGGAAGGCCUCUGGUUUCUUCAGGAAGGUAUAUUUAAAUACCUUUUUCAUUUCAUUAUAAAUCAUCUCCCAGUAUGUCUUAAUCCUUGGGCAUGUUCACCAAAGGUGAAAGAAUGUACCUUCAGUCUCAUUACAUUUCCAACAUUUAUUGUCGGGCAAAUGGUAAAUUUUUGCAAGCUUGACUGGUGUCAUGUACCACCUAUAACCCGAGGUACCACUGUAUAUGUAUUCCAUGGUCGGCAACAGCAACAAAACUUAAGCCAUAUAUGUGUUUCUUCUUUCCUGUUAGCAAAACCAGAGGCUCGUCUAUGCCUCCCUUUUGCACCGCACUUUCCAAACGCAAGUCUGAGCUUUAAAGCUCUGUGUCCGAGCAGUGUGGUUUUUUGUUUGUUUUUUCUCCCAGUGCCCGGGGGGGGGGAAAUUUACCACUGAAUUGGGGCAAAUGGUACUCCACUGAAAACCCAAUUGAUGUUUGCUCUGAUUCAGCAGUAGACCACUUUUUCUUUUCUUUUCUGGGAAAAAGCGCCAGGACAAAGAAAAUUAAAAUACUCAGACAUAGAACUUUAAAGCCCAGACUCAUGCCUAGAAAGGUGGCACAAAAGAAGUCAGGAUGAGCCCCAAGUUUCAGACUAGAGUCAUAGGAAUUCAGGAAGCUGCCUACACUGAGUGAGACCAUUGAGCCAUCUAGUGUUUUUUCCAGUCUUAUCUGGAGGCACCAGAGACUGAAGGUGGGUCCUUCUGCAUGAAAAACAGGUGUUCUGCCAUUGAGCUAACUGACGACAAACUCUUUUAAGCAGACACAUCAGUAACCGAUGCACAUGCCUUUUAAUAAAUCUAGCCAUGUUUUUUUUUAUUUGUGUACAAGUGUGGCAGUGUGGUGUAGUGGUUAGAUCAGGCUUCCACAACCUCGGCCCACCAGAUGUUUUGAAACUACAAUUCCCAUCAUCCCUGACCACCAGUCCUGCUAGCUGGGGAUCAUGGGAGUUGUAGGCCAAAAACAUGUGGAGGUCCAAGCCUGAGGAAGCCUGGGUUAGAGUUCAAAGGCUCACUCAGCCAUGAAGCUCAUUGAGUGACCCUGGGCCAGUCAUGACCUCUCAACCUAACCUACCUCACAGGGUUGUUGUGAACAUGAAAAGAGGAGAGGGAGAAGUGUGGGUGCCACCUUGAGCUGCUUAAAGGGAAAGUGGCAUAUAAACGCAUGAAAUGUGUGAGAAAUAAGAACUGCAAAGAGCAUAGACGGAAUAAUAUCUCUUCCCGAUAUUCUCAGCUAAGGCAAAUAUUGGUAAUGUAGACAAUAGGAUCUUGUGUGCUUAAUUGAAGCUCCAGCUUCUGCAUCCCGCGAGCCUUUCCCAAACAAGCUUGUGCUAGCUUUUAGGUCAGGGUCAGGCCACUCCAUUCAAGAGACCACACGCCUUUAAUAUAUAUGAAAGGGGGAUAUAAAUCCAGAUCCACGCUCCACAAGGUUACAGGGUAAUUAUAACUUUUAGACCCAUUAAAUGUAAUUAGCGAGUACUGGAGUCUGCAGCAGGAACAUAUAAUUGCAGAGUAUGAAAUAAAGAUGGGCAACCUCAAGUGUCCUGAGUUAAAGUGAUACGGGAGCUAAUUCCAUUUUUAAAAUAAAAGAAAUAAAUUUUGAUUUGGGGUGAACCCAGUGCCAGAUUUAGGAAUAAGCUAAACAAGCUAUAGCUUAGGGCCCCACUCUCUUGGGGGGCCCCCCAAAAAAAUUAAAGGGGGGAAAACUGGAUGUGUAUUUCCAAAAAUAUAACAAUUACUUUUAUAAAAUACAUAUUUUGUUAUGUGCAAAUGGGUUUAGAUACCUAUUAGGUCAAUAAAUUACCAUAUAGCAUGUAUUCAACACAAAGAACAGCAACAAUUUGUUGUUGACAAAGGACAGCUGGACAUAUAAAGGGCCCCAUUACCUUCAGUAGCUUAGGGCCUCAUCAAACCUAAAUCCAGCCCUGGGUGAGGCUCUUACUUUAAAAAACAAAACAAAAACCACAAUAGUUGGAAGUGUCUUCCUGACAAAACUGUGGUUAAAACUGCUCGCCUCCCUUUGAAGACUGAAGACCGUGGUUGAUUGAUGAGGGGAAUUGCUCAUGAUGUGGUCACAGGAAGCACUGUAUUUUUCGCCCUGGCUACUUCCUAGUUCAAUAAGCAAUCUACAUGCUCAGGCAAGAUUGUGUGGGGAACCCAAAACAUAACUAGGAAAAAUCAUCCCGUUCUCUGGCCCCUGUUGAAAUUGGUCAGAUCAAGACAUUUCUAAUAAUAUUGCCUGUGCAUCAGCUUAGAACGAUUCUGCACAUGUUGCAGACAGGAAUCCUCAGUGACUGUCCUGUUACAACUGGGUGCUAGGAUUGAUGGAUCCGUAUCUGAAGGGAACCCAGGAUAAGCAAAACCUGCCCUGUGUUGGCGGGUGCGUGUAGAAUGCUAAUAUCUGAGCAGCAACUUAAAGGGAGAUUGUCACCCUUAAGGAUAUCAAAGAAGGAAAAGCUCCACCAAUGGGGAAAACCAUCCUGGGGGAAAGGGAAUGUUCCUUUCUCUUCAACUCAAAAUCUCAACCUGGAAUCCUGAACUGGUGCCCAAGCAUGAACAUUUUUUGGAAGAAGAAGAAGAAGAAGAAGAAGAAGAAGAAGAAGAAGAAGAGCUUUUCUUCUAUUAAAAGAAAAAAGUGCCAGUACUGUGUACCCUUGAGUACCCCCAGAAAAAUCACUGGUAUUAUCAUUAUCAUUUUAUUUGUACCCUUCCCAUCUGACUGGGUUGCCUCACCCUCUUUGGGCAGUUUCCAACAUAUAUAAAAACACAAUAAAACAUUACACAUUAAAACCAGUAAAAGGCCUUCUAUAUUAGAGCAGAUAUUUUGGUGACCAGGAUUAACGUGGUGGUGAAUGCUUUAAUAUUAAUAGAAAAUGUCAAGUACAGUGGUGCCCCGCAAGACGAAUGCCUCGCAAGACGAAAAAGUCGCUAGACGAAAGGGUUUUGCGGUUUUUGAGCUGCUUCGCAAGACGAAUUUCCCUAUGGGCUUGCUUCGCAAGACGAAAACGUCUUGCAAGUUUCUUUCCUUUUUCGUAAAACCGUUAAAACCCAAGGUGCAUUGCUUGAAGAGGUGCAGUUGCGACUUGACUUCGAGGAGCAACUCAUAGCACGCAGUGUGGUAGCCUUUUUUGAGGUUUGUGAAGACUUUGGCGAUUUUUGAAGCUUUUCCAAAACUUCUUUUGCAGCCAUUUGGUAAGUUAAACUUUUAAAACUUUUUUGGGGGUUUUUGGAUUUUGGGUUGGGGUGUUUGGAAUUCAAGGACUUGGUGUUGGGGAGGGGUUUGCAAGAAUCUGGAAGCUUGUGUGGUUUUUUUCUGAAUUUUUAUGAUUUUUUGUGACCAUUGGGCCACUCUGCUGUUUUUUUAAAAAAAAUUCUGGAUUUGAAUUUCUGUGUGGUGGGUGGCUGGGGGAACAGUUGAGGAGGGGUUUGCAAGAAUCUGGAAGCUUGUGUGGUUUUUUUCUGAAUUUUUAUGAUUUUUAUUGUUCCUUCAAUUUUUGAAUUUAUUGUUCCUUCAAUUUUUGAAAUGCUCUUUACAGUAUGUGUGACUUUAAAGACCACUUAAUAAACUCUUGUUGUACCAAAUUUGGCUUUGUUUGGACUUUUUUUGACCAUAGGAACGCAUUAAUUGAAUUUCAAUGCAUUCCUAUGGGAUUUUGUGCUUCGCAAGACGAAAAAUUCGCUAGACGGAAAAACUCGCGGAAUGAAUUAAUUUCGUCUUGCGAGGCACCACUGUAGAUAAAACCUGUGGAGGGAAUUCAAUGUCAAACUAUUAUGAUGGUUCUCUCAGCAGAAACAUUUCUGCUUGGCAGACAGAAUGAUCUCCCCUCUCUUCCCCCGCCCAGGCUGCUCUGAGGGGUUGAUCCAUCUAGCUCAGUAAUGUCCGCACUGUCUGGUAGCGACUCUGUGCUGUUUCAGGAAAGGAUUUGCCCGCCCUGAAGCCACACAGUUCCACUUACUGAACUUCUGCUUCCGUGGGUGUUAUGUACUGAAGUUCUCACCCUGGGCCAGCAGGGGGAUACUGUAAAUAGUUAUGCAAAUAAGGGAUCAAAAGUGACGUUCAGUGAUUGGAUAGUUUUAGAAAGUUGUUACAGUUACAUUGUACUGGAGCUCUAUAUAAGCAGGCUGACUGAACCCUUCAGUUCAGUUCUGUCCUGGCCUGUGAAUAAAAAAAAAAGAUGUUUGAAGAAUCGCUGUGUCGUCUGAUAUGUUCACCCACAACUUAACAGAGGAGCUCUUGAAGGGACAGAAACCUUGUCCUUUUCGGAAUAUAGUUAUAAUUACGUGAAGCCCAGCUGAUCUUUAAACCCUUUAAAGAAAUAAAGAGUAAGACUUCUUCACAAAAGCAUUUCAUUGCAUCUUUAAGUCAGCUGGAUCUUUCCUUUCCCAGCUUUCUACUUAUAAAUGUGGUAAACAUGGUGCCAAUAUUUUUUCUUUUCUUUUUAAAAGACAAAUCUAAAAGGAAGGAUACGCCAAAGAACUUUUCACAGUCCUCUUCUUCCUGCAAGGAUGCUACAGCGUCAAUGCCAAAAGAUGAUAAAAUGGGUCAGAAACAAAAGUGCUCAUUAAAGCGAGGUGUGACUGGAGUCAAGUGUGAGGUGAGUUUACAGUAUGUGCGCACUUCUUACGUUGACAGAGCGUCUUGCUUCUGACAUGCUGGCCUCCUUAUUAGACGCAAGGCCCUUGUAUGCAUACCCACCUCAAGAGUUCUGAGGCCAACAUUUCAGAGAGAAGAAAAAUCCCUGCUAACCUUACCGUAUGCACACACACCCCAAACUACUCUCUCGUAUUUCUGCUCUGGUCCUGAUACCUCAUUCAGGCUUCUCAGCAUGUGUGAGGUUCCACCAGUCUUGAAGAGCUUCCCCCAAGAGACAUUUGAGUAGGGAUAUCAUUAAAAACCUGUUUGCUUUGCACCUAACUGCUGCUUUCAAAGUAGAGAAAACGUAUUUACCAAUAUUUGUUUACCGGCGUAGUAGCUAGCCCUCUGUUUGCUAGCUCAGGAAUUAACAGCAGCAACAAGCAGAGGAAGAGGCCCAAGAGAAGCCUCCAUUUCCCAUCCCUGUUGCAGCCACUGCUCAACAGUAACUACCGGGAUCCGAAAGGGUGGUGUGUCUGGCCUCUCAAGAUCCUAAUAUAGUCACUCCAAGAACCUUGAUAGGCAGCCUUAACUCCUGAGUCUCUGUGAAUCCAAAAUAAGUCGGGAGUGGACUGGAACAGCAUGGUCAUGUUGACUAAGGUUGAUGAGGAGGAUACCAUGUUGGAGAAAAAGAAAAAGCAGCAAUCAUCCUGGUUAUAACAUCCCAGAGUUGCCCUGAUGUCAGAUAGGUGCACUCCCCUUUCCCAAAUGAUUAACUGACAAUUACAUCCAGCUCUUAGCUUCUUCUUAGCCUAUUUACCAAAAAGUCAGUCUGUCUCUGCAAUCCCACCCCCACAACACCCAUAUAUAUAUAUAUAUAUAUAUAUAUAUAUAUAUAUAUGCUUGCUAGUUGCCUGAGGGAACAUUUCUUGCCGUGUGCUAACUCUCUUGAAAGCCAGCACGAAUUUGCCACUAAUGACAUCUCUCAGAAAUGCAAUUAGCCCUCAUUCAUGGCAAAAGUGCAUUAGAGGUUCACAAACUCCAAGCGGGCUGUGAUUGGGUGAGCGCAUGAGGCUUAACACACUGAAAACUGCAUUAUAAAAAAAAAGAUGGCCAAAGACAAGGUUCUAAUAUUACUUAAUUACCCCAAGACAUCCUCAGAUGUAAUUGAGCUUGGAAGGCUAAAUGAAGGCUGCAUGUGUGAUAUUGCCUGAUGCAUUCAUAAUGCCACCACUUUGCGAGACAAACUGAGCCUCUGGCAAGUGGGUGGGGGAGGGAAGCAAGAAAUGCCUGAGGAAAAAAAUCUUUCCAACGGUCUGCUUUCUUUGAAAAAUAUAUCCUGCUUAUACUUCCACUUUGGUAAACUGGGAAAUUUGAGGACCCAGCCUUCCCCAACACUGGGCCGAGCAGCCCCAACCAACCUCAUGACUGAUCAGAAAUGAUGGGAGUUCUAGUCCAUAACAUCUGGAAGGCAUUAGGUUUUCCUGCUUGGUGGUUUGCUGGAUUUUUAGUCUAACAAUGGUGGAGGGAAGCAUGCAAUAAUGUGCAGGAAUUAAAAGCAGCCAUUUUUACUCAGGAAAAUAACCCUGGGGUUCUUGACAAAAGAACCAAACCAAAGGGCAGCACAAAUGCCACAGGAGUAAAAUUAUGCAGAUUGCAGCAAAAUUACGCCUAAGGAGUCUGGACCAGGAAAGAGAGCUGGGGUGGCUGACGGAGUGUGGAAAACAUUGGUGAAUUCCAUGUUAGAGAUCAUUAGGGAAGGGACUGAAACAAAAAUUGUCAAUACCAUGCUGUUAUUAUACAAAUCUCUAGUGUGACCAUGCUUGUGAUCCUGAGCAAAGUUCUGGUCAGUUCACCUCAACAAAGGGUAUCUUAGAAAAGGUGCAUAAAAGGGCAACCAAACUGAAGGAGCAACACACAUGGGAGGAAAGGUUGCAGCGUUUGGGACUUUUUAGUUUAGAAAAAAAUAUGAGUAAGGCGUGACAUGAUAGACGUGUAUAAGAUUGUGCAUUGUGUAGAGAAAGUGGAGAAAGAACAGCUUCUCUCCCACUCUCAUAAUAUAACUCAGGGACCUCCAAUGAAGCUGACUGCAUGAGGAGAGAGUGCUGUUGUACUUCUUGCAGACUUCCCACAGGGAUCUGGUUGGCCACUGUGAGAAUGGACUGCUGAGUUAGUUGGGCCUUUGGUUCAAUCCAGCAGCGCUCUCUUAUGUCCUUACAGAUACAGGAUAUCAGCAGUGUGGAACCUCCAGGCCACAGGCCUAACUAGACCCACCAGGGCCCUUGACAUAUGAGGCCAUUUCUGCCAAACCCACCUACACCUGACAUCAUAUAAGGUAUCAGGUAUAGGGCAGGUAAAUUUGAGCGCGGUUGAGAGGAAAGGAAGUUUGCAGGUACACCAAUGAGUUGAUCGACAGCACCUGCAAAGUGCUGUCCACUGGGCUUCCCAAGCCCCAAUGAUCAGGUGAUCACCUGCAUUUUGCAGGCUGUGCUUUAGCCUGUUUGAUUUCAAAUGCCAUUGUAUUGUCAGGUGGGUACCACUGCCCACCUGUUAAACUUGGGACAUAGGUCUGGGGAGGAACAACAACCUGGCCUCAUAUUGUUCCUCAGGUCUAGUCCCUCCUCCUGCAGUGUAUAGACAACAGCAUUUUGUUUUGGCAUCAGCUGUCAGGUUGUCAGUAGCUUAAUAAAUGAGCUUAAUGAUGCCCAAGAAGGAAGGCAUAAGGCAGCUGUCUGACUAAGGUCUUCCAUGGACAAUAUAAUCUUAAAGCUAUUGCCAUGACAAUCAGUAGCCUCAAUGAGGGGUCUUGGUACUGACUCCAAUGUUUACAUCAACAGCUGUUAUCCUGAGAUACGUCCCAAGAACAGCUGGUGUGUGAUGCAGCACUUUUUGGCUUAGAACCUCCAGGUUCUGUUACAGGGAAGCCAUUAAAGGAGUGUUGACUUCCUUCCAACAUCUGUGCAGACAUCACAAAGAACCUUGCCUGGCAAACAUAUGCUCCUUGAAAUGUCAGGAUGGGGUACAUCUCUUCGCAAGUAGCGUUUUGACCAGGGAGUUGGUUUCAUAACUCCAAUGUUGAAUGGCUCCAUUCAUGAAUCAGUUCCCUUGCCUGCUGCAUGAGCAGCAGAUCGUAGUGCCUGUCCAUGAACAGACAUGCUCAAAGUACAAUGGGAACUGUGACAAGCCUACGGUCGGGGCCCUUGCAAGUAGAUCAGCUACAGGUGCUGCAGCCUGCCAUGUCAUGACCCUGGAGUGGCCAGGACACUGAGUCAGAGGCGCCACCUGAGGAGCUGGAUGGAGUUUCUGGCUUUGAGACUGAUGCUGCUGAUCAGGGGCAUGGUGGAACUGAGGCUGGUAAGCAGGAGAAAGCCAGACCAGAUCCCACGAUACCAGAUCCCAUAGAACCAGAACUGGGAUCCUCAUUGCCACCUUCCUCAGGGCCCAAAGAACUGAGUGCUCCUCACACUGUCUUGCUAGCCCAACAGCAUCAGGUGGGAGGCUAUGGAGUGUAGGAGAGCUGUUCUUCUGCCUGGAGAGUUGACCCUUUAUAAGGCUCUAGUUCCAUAACAAAGUGGCAGAGCAAAGGAGGGGUAGGCUGGAGGCAAGGGACUCAAAAUUUAUCUCUGUCUGCUUCCAACCCCACUGGAGAAAGUUGCUGACUAGGAGCUCUCCUUGGUGCUGUGGGUUCUGCCACAGAACCAGAAAAAGAUGUCUCAUGUCAAGGGGCAAUUUUGGCUUCUCUAUCAGUUUUGGCUUCUCAGUUUCCCAGUCUUAAAUUCCAUUUCCCAAAUUUACAUAUCAGUUUGCUAACAACAGCAACAACAACAACUCCAGAAGAUUCCUCAGACUUUCAGUUCACUUUUCUCUUAAUAUACACAGUUGCAUAUUCAGUUUUGUCUCAUAUAAACAUUUUUGCAAGCAACGUUCCCUAACAUAAUACUGUUUUGCAUGUUAUUUUCAGUAGUAGAUGGGGUUUUAUGCACACACACCUUUUUGCACACAUUCGGGGGAUUGGUGAACUGCAUUGCAAUAUUCAGAGAAGUGUAAAUUUCAAAGGAUAGCAAUGUUUCUGUGUAUGCAAUGUUUCAAGAAAUGAAAAUUAGGUAGUCAAACCAAAAUCCUCCCUACUCCCAAAUAAGCACUCCCAAGUUAUACUUCACACAGUAGGCUGGAAUGGUUCCUUGCAAGUAGUUCCAGGCCAGGUCUGCUGGCAGUGGACUGAUGUGCUCAAAAUAGCAUCCAUGUGUUUCAUCAGCCUCCCUAAUCUUAUAAUGCAGGCGUAUCUAACAUGGCACCUUCUAGAUAUUGUCAGACCAACAUGAUCAUUGGCCAGAACAGCAGAAGCAGCUGGAAAGAGAGGAGAGGAGUUCAGGGAUGGUUUUUAAAAAUAAUUUAAUAAGUUGCUUUUCUCCAUUUGAUCCUUUUACUUGGUUUUGUAUGCAUUGUGGUCAUUUAUGCAAUGUGGUUUGCUGUUAUUUUUAUUGAUUAUAGUUUAGUAAUUAUUCAUUGUGAUUACUGAGACUGAAUUUCUGUUUCAUUAUUAUCCGCUGAUAUUUAAUUGUAUUGUGUACUAUUGUAUUCUAAUGGAUGGUUGAAUAUUACUUUAUUUGACAAAUGCUGUUUAUUUUAAUGUUAUGUUUUUAUUAUGGCUUUCUGUGUUGGAUCAGAUUGUUAUUAUGUUUGUUGUUUCUUCAGCUUGUAAACUGCCUUGUGCAUAGCAAUAUAGAAAGGCGGUAUACAAAUUAGAAGUGAAAGGAAAAAUGAAAGAAAGAUGAUGGAGUUCAAUAACUUCUAGAGGGCAUCAGUUUGGCCACCUCUGCCCUGAUGUUUCCACCAACUUUCCCAGGUUCUUUCUCUGCUCCUCCAGGAACACUUAUUCCUAUGCAACAAAAAUAGGAACCCCAGAAGAAAUGGGAAGCAGAAGUGUAAAAAUAAUGGAAUGGACAAAAUUCCUUUCUGGCAUAAGAAAUAAGAGAGACAGCUCAUCUGAAUUCUGAGUUAGCGUUCUCUACAUUUCACAAAAGAAGGACCAGUAGGGUCCAAAAUAUGCAAGACUUUAUUGUCUACCCUCUUGGUUAGUUGGUUUUUUUUACUUCCACUUCCAGAAGCUACUGUUGGGGAGAAGGGCUCACAACCUGGUGGUGUCACAACAAGGGUACGUGUGCUUAAAGCUUAUGGGGAGAGAGGGAGGCCAUUUUCACACGUCAAGCACCGCUCUAACACAAAGAAGAAUGUGGAGACAUACUGAGACCAGAAAGGCCAGCUUGCUGCUUUUUUCUCCUUUUUUAAUUGUCUUGGAAAGUGCAGCAUUAUGGAGCAUGCUGGUGCAGACACUAUUCAGAACGCCAGAAGACAAAAGCCAACUCACAUGGUUGCCCAAGCCUACAUUUACAUACUGUGCAGAAGGAGAUGUUAAAAUCCAAAUGGCCUGUAAUAAUUAACUCUCAUUUAAACAUUAUGCUGUUUAACCAUCACUUGCAAUUCUACUCCGCCUGGAAGGGGGCUGGAUUGUUGGGAUUUUUUUUAAAAAAAAUUAUUUUAAGCAUAGUAAUAAUGGAGCCUACUGGUUCUAUAUUGUAUAAUCUUGGUUGUCUCGGGACCAGCCCUUCCAUGAAUGCGGCAUGUUUUGGGGCCUGCUGGAAUGAGAACAUUUAAUGUCUGCUAAUUGUUUCACUUCUAAUAAUUGCUGUGAACAGUCACCACAGGAGAGAAACGGGUUUUUUUUGAAGACAUAAUAGUAGAGAGGGGGAGAGAGAGAGAGCCUGCCUCUGGCACAGACAUAUUAACUGAAUACUGUUCUGUUCAUGCUGUUUAAGCACCACAAUGGGUGACAAAUAGCUAUUAACAUAUAGUUCCUUGUCACUGGAGAAACGAGCACUUUUGGAGGCCAAGGCUGCCUUAGGUGUGAGCAAAAUGCAUUAUUUAUCACCAAUUAAUCUUCCUUUUUUUCUUUGUUCACUAGCCUCGUAGACGCAAGAGGGAGGUGGGUGGCAUGAUAUUGCCCUAGACACCCCCAGGAACGUGAGAUGGAGAUGAGGAGACUCUCAGGACCACAGUCGUCAUCCUCACAGAAUUAAAUGCGAUGGCCAGGGAGAGGGUUCCUUGCCACAGUUGUUACAUAUACACCUGUCCUGUAACAAGAGACAUUAUACACUGUGGUGGUAGAUUUAGAGGGGAACCAGAAUUCCUCAGGAAACAUGGAAAUUUGAUAUUUUUCUUUUCUCACCUCCCUGCUGGUAUCUUGCUGAAAUGAAGGUGGCACAGUUACCCAGAAGCCCUUGGGCUUUGGGCCAGCGGCUGAAGUCAAGCUGUCCUUCCUUUCACCUCUAUUUCUGCAGAGCUGAAGUGGAAUUGCUUCUGGGAGGGGACUCAAUAUAAUAGCCCUGCACCCCCGGACGUGUUUUGGACCGCCUCAUUCCUCAUAUCUGCAGUGUGACAAUAAAAGAAUCCAAUAUAGUCAAGAACACACGCUCUGUUUGAAAACGCCUCCGGUUUGCUUGGUAUCCCUCAGUUGACAACAUACAUGCCCCGCAUGCAAAAACAGCCUCAGAGACGUUCAAAAUUGGGAGGGGGGAGGUUUUUAUUGUGAAAAUGCCUUAAGGGAGAAUGUCCUCCAACAAUGAUUCCAACUCUUGCCGUUGGUAAGCCAACCGCAUUGAUCUUCCUACCGUCUGCCAAGACUCCAUGACUAAUGAAGAAGAGAAACAUACCACCAGUGCUGAAAGGUGACUGUGGAUGGGAGCCCUGAGGCAUAACAAAAGCAGAUGGCUUCCUUGGCAAGGGCUUGCUCUUGUCCUCAGCACAGGGAUGAGUGGAUCAAAAGGAAGGCUGUGUGUGCAUGUGUGAAAUAACAGCUACAGAAGUUCACAGCAAGUUUUGUAAUCCGAAGGAAGGAGGAAGGGAGGGAGGGGGAAAGAUGGCAGCCUCAUUUCCCUGCUCUGCAUGAAAAUUUGUGCUUGGUCACAGAAUCAUUGAGUUGGAACGGACCACAAGGGUCAUUUAUUCCAACCCUGUGCAAUGCAGGAAUCUCUCGCCAAAUGUGGGGCUCAAACCCACAACCCUGAGAUUAAGAGUCUUAUAUUCUACCAACUAAGCUUCGCUAAUUUAGAAGGGUUUGCAGAAUACUUUUUGUUCGCUUGUCAUUUGCCAAAAUCUUGGGUAAGCAAAAUCGCAGAACUUUCGGGCAGUCAUGGGUUCCUUUAAAGAUGGGGGUGGCUGGGGUUAUUUGUUCUUAUUUCCCCCUCACAAGAAAUGGAGAACCUAUCUGAGCAGAAUUGCAACUUGCAUACUUCCUCUUUGAAUUAUUGGAAUGCUGCUGGAGACAGAUUGAAAGCUGCACCUAGCGCAGAAUGCAGCAGCGAGGCAGUGACUGCCAAUUCACCACUGAGCUCAGUUUAAGGAUGUUGAGCUCAUUGAUCUAUAAAGCCCUAAGUGACUUGGGCACCAAAUAUUUGAAGGAGUGCUUCCUCCCACAUUAACCUGCCUGGGUAUUAAAUUGGCAAAGGAGGCCCUGUUGGGAGUGUCUCCACUCUCUAUGGUUUGAGGGGCAGAGGAGUGUGAAAAGGCCUUCUUUGUGGUGGCCUCCAGGUUGUGGAUGUGGAAUGAGGUGCAUCUUGCACCAUCCCUGUAUGUUUUUAUUAUUUUUAUUAUUAUUAUUAUUAUUAUUGAUCAAGGCAAACCUCUUUAUUUGCUGUUUUGUGCUAAAGGACCCCGAGGGUUAAGUCCAGUCGCAGACAACUCUGGGAUUGCAGCGCUCAUCUCGCUUUGCAGGCCGAGGCAGCUGGUGUUUGUUCACAGACAGUUUUCCCGGGUCAUGUGGCUAGCAUGACUAAGCCGCUUCUGGCACAACAGAACACUGAAACCAGAACAGCGCACGGAAAUGCCAUUUAUCUUCCCACCGGAGCGGUACCUAUUUAUCUACUUGCACUUUUGGCGUGCUUUCAAACUGCUAGGUUGACAGGAGCUGGGAUGGAGCAACGGCAGCUCACCCCGUUGCAGGGAUUUGAAUCGCCAACCUUCUGAUUGGCAAGCCCAAGAGGCUCAGUGGUUUAGACCACAGCACCACCCUCUUUGGUUGUUCUGUGGUGUUAUUUUAUUAUUCUGGUGAAACUUGCACUUGUUCUUAAUUGUGGUAUUUUUGUAGCUCACCCUCUGGGACCAUUUGAUGAAGGGUGGGUCAGAAGUUCACACAGGAAAUAAAUAUGGAUGGAUGGAUGGAUGGAUGGAUGGAUGACAGGACUCUUGCAUAUGAGAGCCUUGCCAAGAACCCCACAAAGGAACAAACAAAACAUUGCACAGAGAAGCCUGUGCUUGUACUUUUCUUCCUAAAGACUUGCCAUGCCAACAGCUUUCCUGAAAUGUGCAUACUAAAUAGGAUGUUCCCAGCAAGGCCGGCUUCGCUUCUCGUCUGAAAGCAACGAUGAGUGGAGACGUCACAAGGCAAUGAUGCUGGAGAGACCAUUGCUUUCCUUCUGCCGGGUGGACCAUGCCGAAACACCUGUCUCUGCUCUUGAAGUCAUUUGUAUCUGUCUCUGAAGAAGGACAGGCAACAGCAACACAAAAGCAGCACAAAAUUAAGUUAAUUCCGGUAUUUAUCUGUUGAGAAGGAGAAUUAAAUGGAAGUAUAAAUAUCUAACCAGCUUUGCUUGUUUUCCAUUAAAGAAUGAAAGAUUUGCCAUAGACCUUUGAUUAUUAUGCAUUUUUAUAGGCUUCACCUUUUUCCCUGAUGGGACUCAAGGUUGCUUACAGAUAAUGGAAAACGAGCGAGGUCCCAGCUAAAAAAGAGUGGCAACUUAAGUUGACAGAAUAUGCACAGCUUGCAGACUUAACAUAUAGAAGAAGAGAACAAGAAGAACAUGUGUUUAGAGAAGAUUGGAAAACAUUUAUUGAAUAUAUGGGAAAUAACUGUGUACAGCUGAAAAGGCUGGCAGCAUUAAAAUAUACUGAACAGUGUAUAUAAGUUAUGAUGGAUGUAACAAUGGAAUACUGAAUGGUAUCGUUUAUGUAAAAUAUGCGGGGAUUUAUGAUAUGAAAAAUGAACCAUGGAAAGAGAAGAAGGGAAGUCACUGAUAUCUUAAGGAUGUAUAAAUGAGUACUUUCAAAUGUAAAACAGAAAAUUUAAUUUUAUAGACAUAUACAGACAGAGAGAGAAAAAUAAGAACCUCAACAAUCAUUUAAAAACUGUUAAAUAUGGAUUUAAUUAAAAAUGUUUACAUAUAUAAAAUCUACUAAAACCAUAGCAAUAAUCACAACAAAAACAGCAUGGGAAAAGCCCUUUCGUUGAAAGCGGUCGGUUCCAAAAGUCUGCUGGAACAAAGAGGGAGCCAGUCUAGUUUCUCUAGGAAGGGAGUUCCAAAGUCUGGGAGCAGCCACCGAGAAGGCCCUCUUCCACAUCCCUACCAAACAUGCCAAGAGAAGGGCAUCCCCUGAACAUCUCAAAACCUGGGCAGGCUUGCAUGAGGGUAUCUGGUCUUUCAGAGAGUUUGGACCUAAGCCAUGUAGGGCUUAACCAGCACUUUGAUUUGUGCCCAGAAACAGACCAAUAGCCAGUGGAGCUGUUAUAACAAGAGAGUCGUAUGCUCCCUAUAACCAUAAUAGACCAACAACAAAACAAACAAAAAAACCAGAACAGAUACAUGUUUAUUCUUGCAGAUGCUUCUUUGUGGGACAGAAAUGCUCCAGCUGAUGAUAAAGACACAGCUGGAUAACUCUAGGCAAUUCUUAACUGAUGAAGUGUAAACAUCGAUGUUUUCUGUUGAUUCUUACAGGCGUUUCCCCCCUCCUGCAGCCAUACUCCAGCAGAGCUUGAUGAAAAGCAGCUCCCCACACCUUCCUGACAUCUUCCACACUUGCCACCCACCCUCACAGAUAAGGAAGGGUAUGCUCCAAAUGGGUUUUGAAGGUGGAUUGCUACAAGUUCAUGAGAUGGAGAGCGGAAGAGGAAGGCACGUAUUCAUCAAAGAGCACAGAGUAACUCAGCUAGUGCAGAACGGAGAGGCUAUAUUGCAGAUGGGGGCAGAUAGCUAAUAGCACACCACACGUCUGCUAAAACUUAUGCCACAGGGCCAGGUUCAAAGCUCUUGUGAUUAUAUGCAGUAUACCAGUAUGUAAUGGUAUUCUUGUAAUCAGUAGAGAACAACCUAUUUCAGGAAGCAUACAAAUAUUCACUGUGUAAAACAGUUAAUUUUUGCGUUUCUCAAGCCAUAGACCUCCUUGGGAGAACAGAGGAUGUAGCGUUUUACAAAAUAAAUCUUUGCUGUGCACCUCUUGAAACGUGUUGUUCUUCACUGUUCUAGGGUGCUACUUGUUCUUGGCUGCAAAUAUUUUCUCCAUGAGAAUUGGUUUGUUUUCUCAAUGUAUCGUGUUGACAUUGUCCAGAUAAGGGAUUUUGGAGCAGGGUGUUUCGAAGAAAAAGAGAUAAAGAAAAGAAAUAAUUUCAGAGAGAUUGAAAGUAAAUGCAACUUCAUAUUCCUGCAUGGCAGGGGGUUGAACCAGACUGCCCUCAUGAUCCCUUCCAGCUCUGUGAUUCUACAGGGAUUGCUUGACAGCACCCAGGGGGGAAAAAUAAAGCAAGAGAAUGAUUGGGAACCUUGGGGCAUCAAAAACACAUUUUUUUGGAUCACAAAACUGGGUAUGGCCCAAAAUAGAUCACAUUCUGUGCCACACCAGAGGGACGGUGUUUGAUGUAGCAAAGAGGAGACAAGCAGACAAGCAGUGGACAUGCAGUGGGCUGCAGGACCAUGACUUGUGUCUGUUGCAUGUUUGGAUAAGUGUUAUCUUUUCUUCACGCUUCAUUUUUCUACUUAUGCAAAAAUCAGACAGUAGGUGAAAUGGCUCUGGGAUUGUGGCACUUCUAGUUAACACGCUGCAUUGCUAAUUGAGUAGCCAACUCCAGGCAAUGGGCUUUGUGGAAGAUGUUUUGGCUUAACACCAGCGGUUCCAGUGGUACAUUCAAGCAAAAUCUCUUUGCAGCCACGGAAUAGUUCACAUGGCACAGCCAAACAAGGCCAUGAAAUCCAAGUCCUGGGAAAUUAUACCAGAGUUUGCAAGACAAGUGAGCUGCAAUAAUAUAUAGCAGGUGCCUUCAUAAAAAAGUUAGGUCCACAGGGACAAUUCAUACUUGCUACUUCUUCCCUGUCCAUGUCAGACUUUGGGUAAAUGCCAUCAUGUGCUUUAAAGUGAGCCUGAAUUUAACACACUCCGAACUGCAAAGAGGCUGAGUUGGUAUUGAGCAAAUAUCAUUGCAUAUCCCAGCAUGCUUGGGCUGUUUUCUUUUGGCCCUCAAAGCAGCAGCACGGCAGACAGCAUUUAACCUUCUAAGAUAGUUGGUUUUUAAGGGGGGGUACCUCACACAGAUCUUAGCAAAAGCUCAUAUUCAUAACCUUUUUAAAAAAGCACCAUAUAUCUUCAUUUCAAUCCCCACUCCUCACAUUUCAAGUAAGCAGCAAUCCCUACCCUACAAGAGUAAACCUGAAUUUUGACUUGCCUCGUAUUAAAUACCACACAUGGCUUGUUAGAUUUGCUGAAGCCAUUGCUUUUCAGCAGGCGCUGUUUCCUCGCUGUUUAGAGCUUCACUUCCAGAUUGUUUCUUUGAAAGAGUGGAUGUUGCAAAAGAACUGCAAAUCAUCCUUCGGUUGGUCUGACAUGAAGUCUCAUGCUGUCCCUAUUUGUGGACACAUUUCCUCCUCUUCCCUAUCAAGGCUUUAUUUUUAUUUUAUUUUAUUUUUUAAAAUGCCAUGGUGAAUAUGUGUCAUGGGAUCCACCCACCCGUGAUUUCAUCUGCUCAUUUCUUUCAGGCUGCUCCAGCAACUUCAUGACUGUAUUUCAAGCUUUGUCGCUCUGUGGAGGCAGCUGCACAAAUUGAGUGCUUAAGGAAAUACAAACCAUGUCCAAAAUAGACAUUAAUAGAAAAGGUGAGGAGAUUCGUACAAUCGUAUCUUGGAUCCUGAAUGCCUUGGUACUUGGACGUUUUGGCUCCCCAACGCCGCAAACCCGGAAGUGAGUGUUUCAGUUUGUGAACAUUCUUUGGAACCCGAACGUCCGACGGGGCUUCCGCUGCUUCUGAUUUGCUGCAGGAGCUUCUUGCAGCCAAUCAGAAGCUGUGUUUUGGUUUCUGAACAUUUUGGAAGUCGAACGGACUUCCGGAAAGGAUUCCGUUCGACUUCCAAGGUACGACUGUACAGGAGAAAUACAACAUAGCCAUGUUUAGAUUGUGGAAAGGGCUUCUGUCAGAGCAGACACCUCACUUCCCACCAAAGAAUUCAUACGGGGGGGAACUGUUUCAGUGUUUGGAGUAUGGAAAGAGCUUCUGCUGUGAUGGUACUUACACUUCCCAUCAAGGAAUUCAUGAUAGAAUGAAACUAUUAAAUCCCAAUUCCGUCUUCUGCGGCAUUAACUACUCCUCCUAACUACUUGGUGUCAUCUGCAGAUUUGACAAGCAUCCCCUCAGUUCCGUCAUCCAAGUCAUAUAUAAAAAUGUUUAACAACAAUAGGCCCAGGACAAAACCCCACCACAUUGGACAGAUCAGUCAGUAGAGCAUGAGACUCUUGAUCUCAGGGUUGUGGGUUCGAUCCCCACAUUGGGCAAAAGAUUCCUGCACUGCAGAGGGUUGGACUAGAUAACCCUUGUGGUCCCUUCCAAUUCUACAUGUUAGAUUACUGUUAUGCCCAUAUUGCAGAGUAAUAGUGGGUGGGCACUGAGAAGCAGCUUACCUACAUAGCCGAGCAGAGAUUUGAAGCAGAAACAUUCUUCAUGUAUUAACUGCUAACUAAUUUUUGCAGAUUGCUUCUCAACCAGACUUGAGCAGCAAAACAAAACAGGAGCAAACGAAGCGCAAGUAAAUGAGCCUUGACAUCAUUCUCUUAUUGCCCGUUCCUUGCUGCUUCGGAGGGCCAGCUGUCCCCUUCUUCCACCUCUUUUCUGGCACACUCUUCCCUUUGACUUCAUCAAAGGUCCCCAUGACAUAUGUGUCACUGGCCUCGAUCAAAGUUGUACCUAUAGAUGCAGCCCCAGCAUGGAGCCGAAAGCAAAGAUGGACCAGAUGGUCUGGAUAUGCCUGGGCUGGAGGAAUUACUCAUCCAGAAAUGAACUUUAAUUGAAAAAGUGCUUAAUGCUGGUAUGAAGAAGCCUAGCAUAAUCCAGGGGAACUCAAAGGGGCACUGCGUGCUCUGUUUCAGCACACCAGAGAGAGAGAGAGAGAGAGAGAGAGAUUCUCUUUUUAUUUACAUUAUCUAGAUUGUCACAACAGCCAUGAAGAUGGUUUCUGGAACUCCUCCAACACCUGGAGAAGUGAUGAAAUAAAAAAAGCAACAAGGGUUUUGCUUCAUUAUUCCUUCCAGUAAGGGUUAAGAAGAAAAGACCCAUCUUAUCUGAUAGAUCCUUUUCCAUCUAAUUGAAUUGUCCCCACAUCUCGUUAAGGUAUGAAAUGCAUCUUCACCCUGAGCCUAAUCUCCAUUAGACAUUCUGUCAACAGUGUGGAAGAAAGAAUACACAGCGUGCCAGAGGUAGACAGUCCUGGCACCCCUAGAGGAGACCGAGACUUACCUUUGGCUCCACAGGUCACAUUUAAGGUUUUUUGGCAGACGUGCAGAGCAAUCCGAAAUUGCUGGGGGUCGGAGAGUCUGUGGCGGAGGACCUGCCAAUUCCUCAAUGCUGCUGGCUUACGCUGCCCAAGGUGGAAGGAGAGCUGGAUUCUCUCUUCAAUAUUUUCCCCAUUCAGCCUUUCCACUUCCUCCAUUUACACUAAAGGAAGAUGAAAUAACUACUUCAGCAUUGCUUCGAUUUUCCUAAAGAAAAUUUAGAAAGCCGGUGCGGUGUAGUGGUUAGAGCAGACUUCCUCAACCUCGGCCCUCCAGAUGUUUUUGGCCUACAACUCCCAUGAUCCCUAGCUAGCAGGGCCAGUGGUCAGGGAUGAUGGAAAUUGUAGUCUCAAAACAUCUGGAGAGCCGAGUUUGAGGAAGCCUGGGUUAGAGUUUCAGGCUAGGACCUGGGAGACCAGGGUCAAAAUCCCUACUCAGCAAUGAAGCUCACUGGGUGACCUUGGGCCUUUCCCUGCCUCUCAGCCUAACCUACCUCACAGGGUUGUUGUGGGGGUUCAAAGAGGAAACACGCACACCACUUUGAGUCCUUGGAGGAAAAGGUGGGGUACAAAUGCAAUUAAAAAAAACAAUUUAGGAUGAAACAAUUGAGAUUUGAAGCAGUUGUGUGAGAUAGUCACACAUGGGUUCUUUGCAAGAUUUUAUUUUUUUAUCACAAUACAUUGCACUGACACAGCUUUAGAGUGAUUUAUUUUAUUUUGCCUUCUGCCCUUAGUUCUCAGCUGGCAAACCUGGCAUUACUUAAAGCCAAGCCACUUAAUGGAAGGCAAAAAUGGGCAGACAGCUAUAGCAUCAAAUACUCUCUGCUUAUGGGCAUUUUAUCAGCACCUUGCCACUCCUUGCAAAGAAAGGGGGGAAGGGGGAGGCAGAUUUCUUUUUUCAGUGGAACCGGUGAUAAGAAUUUGCGUGAAUUAGGACAGCAAUUUGCUGCUUUUGCAAAUUAGUUGGUUUGCCCGAUUUCAGUCUGAACUGGCAGAAAGAAAUGACUUGAGAGAUGCCUACAAAAACCAAGCCUACACCCUGGCCCAUCUUACCUUUCUUCUAAACAAAUGUGUGCUUUUUAAAACACUUUUUUUAUUUUAAGUCUCCCCCCACAGUAGUGGAACAUCUUAUUAUGCACAUAUCUUGUCCUUUAUGUGGCAGCAAGUGAUGGAGGCGAGAGGAGGGCCAAUGGGCUGUAAUUGCUCUAAAGGUAGUGAUUUUGAUAUCUUUUAUUAUCAGGGUGCCCAGACGUAAAAUGAAUCUCUGUAAUAUUUAUAAUGUGUCAUUUCUUAUAAUAAGUAGUCUGAUGUGACAAAUGGAGACAGAGUCAAAGGUGUCAAUUAAGGGGGAAAUGUCACAUUGUACUCCCCCCCCCCCCCCGCAUUGCAGAUGCUGCCUUCUAGCUACCAGGCGCAUGGAAAAGAAAGGUUCUUUGCCAUAUUUUAACCUAUUCCUCCUAAGGAGACGGUGACGUCAAUCCACCCACUCUUUUAAGUUACAGUGCCACGUUUACCUUCAGUGGGACUUACCUAUGCUUCAGUGACUGAGGUGCUGCAAAGGAAAGUUUGGUAAAAAGUAUGGAACAGGGUUUUGCAAUCCUCCUCCCGGUGGCACAACGGGUCGGUGCGCCUUGCUGUUAACCAAAAGGCUGGUGAUUCAAGCCCACCCAGGGAUGGCUAUGGGCAGGAUUCAUGCACUGCCCAGGGAUUGGACUAGAUGCCCCUUGAGUUCCCUUCCAACUCACCAUUUCCAUGAUCCUAAGCAAAGAGCUGUUAAGAAUAGCCCUACGCUGAUGACCACUCAGUGACUUCUCCAGGAAUAAGAAGAGCCCUGAUGGAUGAGCCCAUAGGUGUGUCUAGUUCAGCAUCCCGUUUCCCACAAUGGCCAAUCAGAUGCCUUUGGGGAAGGCAUCCUAUCUCCAAUCCAAAGUGGGGAGUGUGCUGUUAUGCUUAGGUCCUGCUUGUAGGUUCUUCAAAGGCAUCUGGCUGGCCAAUGAAAGAACAGGACACUGAUCUAGAUGGGCCAUUUGCUUGAUGAUGAUGAUCAUAAAAAUUAUCAUUUAUACUCUGCCCAUCUGGCUGGGUGGCUCCCAACAGAAUAUUAAAAACAUGAUAAAACAUCAGACAUUAAAAACUUCCCUAAACAGGGUUGCCUUCAGAUGUCUUCUAAAAGUCAGAUAGUUGUUUAUUUCCCUGAUGGGAGGGCAAUCCACAGGGCAGGUGCCACUACCUAGAAGGCCCUCUGCCUGGUUCCCUGUAACCUCACUUCUCUCAGUGAGGGAACCGCCAGAAUGCCCUCGGAGCUGGACCUCAGUGUCCAGACUGAACGAUGGGGGCGGAGAUGCUCCUUCAGGUAUACUGGGCUGUAUAAUGGGCCAUUUAGGGCUUUAAAGUUCAGCACCAACAUUUUGAAUUGUGCUCAGAAAUGCACUGGGAGCCAAUGUAGGUCUUUCAGGACCAGUGUUAUAUGGUCUCAGCUCUUCUUAAGGUCUUAUGGUCUUGAUCCUGGAGACUGUGGGUGUGUGUAUUGGCAGGAGAGGUAAACAACCAGUUCCUGAUUCCAUUCUACCAAGCAGUAACCUGCCAGGUUUCUAAUUCACACAAUCAUUUGUUAUGAGAGGUGAGUUGCCCAUUACCAGACCAUGAUGCAAUUUUGGAGGGAGCAAAAAGUGAUAAGGCUACUAGCAACCAUCUAGGUUUUAACUGAAAUUACACAGCAGACAUUUUGUCUAAGAAAUUUGUUGACGCUCUGUGAAAUGUCCCCCAGGUAUUCUCCCUCAUUCUCACCCCUACCAUGCAUGUGUACACACACAUGAACAUGCAGUAUCCAAGAAUUAGACCCAGGGCAUUGGAGGAGACAAAAUGGGGCCAGGAUGCCAACUCAGAUGUUGCUACUGUGAUGGAGGUGGGGUGGAGAAGUGAAGCCUUUGCCACAGCUAAUGGUGAGAAACUUGAAUUUCUCCUUACCCUGGAGAAAUUUAGUGGAAUGGUCCUCCCAGUUUCUCUACCCACCUACAUUUUGUGCAACAGUCUCUCUCUCUCUCUCUCUCUCUCUGUCUCUCUCUCUCUCUGUCUCUCUCUCUCUCUCUCUCUCUCUCUCUCUCUCUCUCUCACACACACACACACACACACACAGAGUAGAUUUCAAGAGCAGGAAAGCCAGUUGCAGAUCCCUAGUGCAUGCUGAAUUCCUCUGCUUGCUCAGAGCUUCUUCAGAUCCAUACAUUUGUAUUAAAUGGUCUGUUAGAGAUUUGCUGGCACUUUUCAAGCUCUGACAGUCCUGUUUUUAUUUCAAUUGCCUUUAAGCCAAUUCAUGAGAUUUUCAUAUAUAAAUAUGGAAAUAUGCAAAGUCCUCAGAUUUAUAGGAUCUGACAUUGUGGUUUAAACGAAUCCCAAAUGAUCUGGUCUCUUCCUUACAUAUUCAUUCCAUUCCCCUCCGUGACACGGUCCCAUUCUUCACUCAAUAGCAACCCCUGCUGGUGCUCCAGAAACAGAGCUUGUCCCUCGAACGUUGCCUCUCCUCUAUUUGCCAUCCAUCAUUUAAUUCACUUGAGAAUUUGCUUAUCUUCCAAAUGAGUCUGCUGAUGGCAUGCUGGGUUUGACCUAAUAUUAUUGCUGAAGAAAUGUCAACUCUGGAACAAACAAACCUGUGGAGAAUUUUACAUAUGUUAAUGAAAUUUGUCAUUUAAUUCUCCCUCUCUCCUUCUUCCUCUUGUUCUUCAUGUCAGUCCCAUGCUGCUAUCUAUAUAUGUAGCUAUCUACCUAGCUUCGUACCCACCUAUAUAUCUCAUAUUUUUUAUCACUCUGUUUCUCCAAGGACCUGGUUGCUUCAUGCAUGUGAUCAUCCCAUUUCAUCCUACUACAGCUCUGAGAUAGAUUGUUCUCCUCCAAGGAGGUUCAUGGCAGAACAUUAGAGGGGUUCCUGUCCACGACCAAAGGCAGAUGGUGUCAUGAGGAAGGAACAUCUUCAUUCGGGAAGAGCUGAAAUGAAGCACCUGUUCCUUAGAGUACACAAACUGAUCUCAGUCAGCCCAUGUGCUCUAGCCAAUCCAAGUUAUGCACACUAUCCAUACACAUGAUGGGGUAGAAUCGCAGGAAAACGCAGCCAUGUCAAUGCCAUUUCCUUGUCACACAAGCAGCUCUGCUAUGUUAUAAGUGUGGGACAUGUGUUUUGGCAGGCAUAUAUUUAGAUCGGCCUUCCUCAACAUGGUGCCUUCCAGAUGUUGGGCUCCCAACUCACAUCUGCGCAAUCCAGCAUGGUCAGCGAUGGGUUGAUCCCCAGAUGUUCAGCAACAUCUGAAGGACCAAAGGUUUCCCACCUCUGCCCUGAAGCUGCAAACCCCAGAGCACUAAGAGCAGGCUUCCUUAAUCUGGUGCCCUCCAGAUGUUUCGAACUACAGCCCUGCAAUAUGGGAAUUGCAUUCCAAGACAUCUGGGUGGCACCAAGUUGGAGAAGGCAGGAGAAGCAAAUGCAUCUGUCAAACCAAUUCAUGCUCAGCAGCAGGGAUGGGGAAUUAGCAGCUCCCAUCAGCCUCCAGCCAACAUGGUCAACAGAAGAUGGGCGGCCAGCAAUAUCUGGAGGGUACUGAAUUGCAGAAGGCUGGUUUAGAGAAUCUUUGGAGCUGCUUCUGCUGUCAUUGUACUUCCUUGUCCUUCCCAUCCUCCCUUGAGUCACACAAUGUCCUCUUUAAUGAAACCUCUCCUGGAAAAGAAUCGGCAGUGAUGAAAGAGAAGCUGCAGGUGCCAUCAAAGGCAAGGGCAGGCUGACAUUGGUCAAGGACCAGCUUUGCAAAGGAAAGGAGAUUCUUUUCAUCCCACUCUUGGGGGCAAGCAUCCAGUACAGGGAAUUAAGCUGCACAGAGGUGAAUUCUCAGUGACACGACGAACACAUGGCGCUCCUGAAAGCUCUGUUUUGAGAAAGGGUGUGUGUGUCUCUACUGCUUGAAAACCUCAUGCCCAAUAACAGCAACAGCAGAUGAUGCAACACCUCUCCUCUUGGGUCCCCAAGGCUCUUUUUCUCUUGCUGAACUUGCUGCAACCUCAACACACACACACACAGAAUGCCCUUUCUAGUUAGCAAAUGGAGCGUCACAGCUAGGUGGCUGUCACAUUUCCAGAAAUUCAUCCACCAUCUCAAGGAUGCCAAGAAAUGAGCAGGCACCAGUGUGAAGUAUGUGACCAUGCCAGGUCUCCAGAAGAGCAAUGUAUUCAUCUAGAUGUCUGUCAGAGACCCUUUCAACCCAAAGCCCACGUCCUCAUUCUGCCCCUUUCCGCCUCCUACUCUGUACGGUUCAAGCUCAUCAAAUGUGAAGGUGGAGCCUGACUGUCAUCUAGAGGAACAGCGAUGAGGCAGCUUAUCAGCCUAGAGAGCUGUCCCUGGCAGAGCCACGGCAGCUAAACCUAGCGGUGCAGCAAUAAAACUGCUAGCAUGUUUGCAAAGCUAAGCAGGGCCUGGUAUGGUUUCAAAUUGACUGUUGAGAUUCCUGCAUUGCAGCGGGUUGGACUCGAUGACCUUCGGGGUCCCUUCCAACUCUACAAAAAAGGUUUUUAAGGAAAUUCAUCAAAAUCUGGACUUCCAGCAUGGGUUGCCGUACAUCCAGAUUUUCCUAUUGCAGCAAUUUCUGGACGGACACUGUUUCCAAUUGCCGAAUCUUGUCUAUGUCUGGGAAAUUCCGGGUGUACGGCAGCCCUACAAUUCUGUGAUUCCAUACUUUGGCAAAUACCUUGCCCUUUUCUCUUACCACUCAAAUACAGAAAGCUAAUGUUUGAGCUGCACAGAGGCCGCUGGCAACAAGUCACACUCCACACAUGGAUGAGAAGGCUCUCAGUGGGCACUGGCCAUAAUGGCUAAGCUUUGCCUCCACAGUCUGAAGCCCUGGGGAGCUUCUGCCAAUCAGUGUGGACAAUUUUGAGCUUGAUGGAGCGAUGGGUCUGACUGGGUAUCAGGCAGCUUCCUAUGUACAGGGGGGGAAGGCAGUUAACAUGAUAAAGGAGUUGCAGCACCUUCCUUAUGGGGACAGGCUAAUGCUUUGAGGCUUUCAUAGUUCAAGCAGCGAAAGACAACUCAAGAGCUUGUAAAAUUAUGGAUGGUGUGGAGAGCCGCAUUUUUCUUUGGGAAGACACAAAGCUCCCAUUAAUUAUAUUUAUAAGAGUAAAACUCAUACAGAUAAGGAGAAGUGGACCGAAAGUCUUUUGCAUCCUCUGCAUCUCUUAGAAUGCUCCACAAAGUUGAUUUGCGGUAAGUCGGGGAAAGAAAGACAAAAUGAAAGGACUUUUUAACACAGAGACACACACACGGCACAAACACCAGCCUAUGAACUCCACCGGCAUAAGACAUGGUCGUGGCUGCCGUUGGCUUAGACAGCUUUUGUAAAGGGUUCGAUAAAUUCAUUCAGGAUCGGUCCUGGUGACAUCGACAGCUAUAUGGCAUUCCACGUCGGUGCUAAAACACUGUACUUCUGGACACAAGAUGCAUUCAGUGGAGAGAUGCACUUCCUUUUGUCUGUCCUGAACCUACUGCAAAUUGACUUCACCGAGUUGAUGUGGAUGAUGGAGGAGGCAAGAUACGAUUGGACCACUUGUCCUUAUCUAUUCCUACGGGUUCGGCUCUUAUAAAUAUAAUUGAUGAGCACCUCUCGCCUUACAAAGGAGCAGUUCCCAAGCUGCCCGAUUCCAAACCCCUGGCUCUCCUUUUCCUUUCAAUGGAGCUGCAAAGCCCGUUUCUUGUAACGCACGGCACAUUCCGCAAGAUCAGCCCGCGUGUAGCUGUGUGGUGACCCCCCCUCCACACGCCCUCACCUCCUUCCCCUUUUUCUUCCCACCUUUUAUGCAGUGCCUUCUUCCACUUUAUUCCUCAACAUGAAUCAUCCUAUUAUUAACUUGUGACACCAUUAGCUUCUGCUGUCACCAGAGCUGACAGUUCAAAGGCCCCCGAGAGCUCUCUGCAAAGGCACAAUAAAUGAGAUCUCUUAAUUAACACCUCCUUUAACUAAAUAAAUUAAUUUUAUGCAACUGAUAUGUCAUCUUCUCCAUUUGAGGGUGACUGAAUAUCCUGUCUGGCUUCAGGUUCCUCCGCCUUGGCUAGCAUCGCCAUCUCUUGCUAAGUCUGCAGGUGGGGGGAGCGUUGCUUGGCAAGCUUCUGAUAACAUAGGACUGAUGUGCUGAAUUGAUCUGCCCGAUGGCAGCAGCUCCCCUAGCCCCAGCUCCCGGGUGCUAAAUAUGAGUUUGUGCAAAUCAUCUGCAAUGAGUGGAGGCUGCUAUUUUCCUCUCUCCCCCGGCUGCAUGUCAAUUACAGGGGCUGAGCAAUGUGUGGCUGAAUUACUCAUGGCAAACCACUCCGAAAGCCUGCUUGGCACAAACUGGGAGCCACUCUGAAAAGCAGGGGAAAGGCAAUCUGUAUCAAUGGCCCCAUAAGCAAGAGGCGCACUGCACUGGCUACCGAUUAGUUUCCGGGCCCAAUUCAAAGUGCUGGUUUAACCCAUAAAGCCUUAAACUGCUCAGGACUGCCUCUUUCCAUAUGAACCUGCCCAGACCCUGAGAUCAUUUUCUGAGGCCCUCCUUCGUGUGCUUCCUCCUCGAGAGGUCCGAAGAGUGGCAACAUGAGAACGGGCCUUCUCUGCAGUGGUUGCCUGUCUGUAGAAAGCUCACCCCAGGGAAACUCGCCAAGCGCCUUCAUUAUACACCUUUAGGCACCAGGCAAAAAUGUUCCUUUUUAUCCAGGCCUUUGGUUCUCCUGAUCAACAGCCCAUACCCUUUUAAAAGGUGGCUCUUUUGGGGGGAGUAUUAUUGGGUUAUUGCUUUUAUUUUUAUUUUAUAUAUUGUGAUCUUUUUAUGUGAACCCCCCUGAGACCUCCAGGUAUAGGGCGGUAUAUAAAUUCAAUAAAUAAUAAUAAUAAUAAUAAUAAUAAUCUGAUGAUUUGUCCAUGUGAGUCUCCAACUGGGACAAGCCAGAUGUCCCCAGGAAACACAUGAAAGGAGUAGCUUUCUUCUGUUUGUCCACAGCGCCUGUGUAUGCCUGGGCAUCGCUCUGAACAGGGAUGUUCCACUUUUCACUGUGGCAGCUUAAUAAGAGGCCCCUGCAAUCAAUGUCACAGUGUUGAAUUUCAAUCAGAGUUUACAUGCCAAAGCUGGAAGUGUGGAUGAAUCCUCUGGAUUGUUUAUUUGCAUGUUUCUCCUCUCAGUGUUUGAGGAACCCUGGAGAGAGAUUCGCCUGAUAUGUUGAUUUUUAUUUCAUUUUAUUGCAUCACCUCUCGAGAGUUUAAGGUGUCAACAGCACUCUUUGUCCAGUGACAGCAAAACUCACUAUAUUAAAAGAGCAUCUUGUCUAGACUGUGGGGCAACACUGGAUAUCUUGCAGAUAUUCUCUUGACAGAAGCAAGAUUUAUAAGAUGCAUUUUGUCCUGAAAGAUGGUUCCAAAAAGGGGGGUGGGUGGAAUGGUAACUUCAUGGGCAUUAGAUAUAUAUUAAGGAGAUAAAUAGGGACGCGGGUGGUGCUGUGGGUAAAACCUCAGCGCCUAGGACUUGCCGAUCGUAUGGUCGGUGGUUCGAAUCCCCUCGGCGGGGUGAGCUCCCGUCAUUCAGUCCCAGCUCCUGCCCACCUAGCAGUUCGAAAGCACCCUUAAGUGCAAGUAGAUAAAUAGGUACCGCUUUAUAGUGGGAAGGUAAACAGCGUUUCCGUGUGCUGUGCUGGUGCUGGCUCGCCAGAGCAGCUUCGUCACGCUGGCCACAUGACCCGGAAGUGUCUUCGGACAGCGCUGGCCCCGGCCUCUUAAGCGAGAUGGGCGCGCAACCCCAGAGUCGGUCACGACUGGCCCAUACGGGCAGGGGUACCUUUACCUUUAAGGAGAUAAAUAAUAAUUUGUAAUUGGGUGUAUGGGCUAAUUUAAAUGAAACUGCAAAAAAUGUGAAUAAGGAUGUAAGACUUGCCAAUGCUAUAUUAGACAAUGGGCUAUUGAGUUCAGCACUCUGCCUUUAACAGUCAUCAUCCAAACAUCCCUGAGCAGUUCGCAAGUCAAGAAAAGUGAAUAGACCAUAUAGAGAGACACUAUCUUGAGCAAGAUGGUCCAGUGGUCUGAUUCAACGUAAGACAGUUUCCUACUUUCUCAUUUGAACAAGGGUCCAAAUGGAUGCAAUGUAUUAUUGCGUGUAAUUUGUGAGGAUUUGAAAUAUUAUUGCACAGCUAUCUCUCAAGUGUAUGAAAGAAGACAUCAGUUCGGCCUCCAGGCCAUGGGACUUGUCUCUCAACAGCUGCCCUAAAUCUGCGAACUUAAACCUUUCACAGCCACGAGGAAGUGAUGGCUUUAGUUGCCUCUGGCUUUUGCCCACAUGGAAAACUGUGACCCAUAUUUGCAAACAUGUAACUUUAAAAGCCAGGAUUUCAAGCAAGCAAUCCUAGGUGCAGUUUUAGUUAAUCCUUCUCAAAGGGGAUAUAACAGAGCUGGAAAGUGUGUGGAAAGGGGCAACCAAAAUGAGCCAGUUGUCGGAGCACCUUCCUUGCAGGAAAAAAAUGGUUUAAAUGGGUUUUUGAGGUGCGUGGCACUUCUAUACUGUCAUUAUUAUCUAUACUGUGGAUCUCUAUACUGUGAGAUCCCAUGGACAGUAAUACUAAAAGGAAAGGGAGUUCAUGAUGGCUGGGAGUUUGUUAAGAGGGAGAUAGUAAAAGCACAACUUCAGGCAAUACCAAUGAGACGGAAACAUGGAAGGUGCCUAAAGAAGCCAGGGUGGCUAUCUAAAGAACUUUUAACUGAGUUAAGGUUAAAAAAGGAUGUGUACAAAAAAUGGAAAAGGAUGGAAACCACCAAAGAGGAAUUCAAACAAAUAGCCAGCACGUGUAGACACAAAGUCAGAAAAGCUAAAGCACAGAAUGAACUCAGGCUUGCUAGAGAGGUUAAAAGCAACAAAAAGGCUUUUAUGGGUAUGUUCAUAGCAAAAGGAAGAACAAAGAAACAGUGGGGUCACUCAGAGGAGAAGAUGGUGAAAUGCAAACAGGGGACACAGAAAGGGCUGAACUCCUCAAUGCCUUCUUUGCCUCAGUCUUCUCCGAUAAAGAAAACAAUGCCCGACCUGAAGAAUUUGGAGCAAAUGAUUCAGCAGAGGAAACACAGCCCAGAAUAACUAAGGAGAUAGUACAAGAAUACUUGGCUAGUUUAGAUGUAUUCAAGUCUCCAGGGCCAGAUGAACUGCAUCCAAGAGUAUUAAAAGAACUGGCAGAUGUGAUCUCAGAACCACUGGCAGUCAUCUUUGAGAAUUCCUGGAGAACAGGCGAAGUCCCGGCAGACUGGAGGAGGGCAAAUGUUGUCCCUAUUUUCAAAAGGGGAAAAGAGAGGACCCAAAUAAUUACUGCCCAGUCAGUCUGACAUCAAUACCAGGGAAGAUUCUGGAGCAGAUCAUUAAGCAAACAGUCUGUGAGCACCUAGAAAGGAAUGCUGUGAUCACCAAUAGUCAGCAUGGAUUUCUGAAAAAUAAAUCAUGUCAGACUAACCUGAUCUCGUAUUUUGACAGAAUUACAAGCCUGGUAGAUGAAGGGAAUGCAGUGGAUGUAGCCUACCUUGAUUUCAGCAAGGCAUUUGACAAGGUGCCCCAUGAUAUUCUUGUAAAGAAGCUGGUAAAAUGCGGUCUUGACUAUUCUACCACUCAGUGGAUUUGUAACUGGCUGACUGACCGAACCCAAAGGGUGCUCAUCAAUGGUUCCUCUUCAUCCUGGAGAAGAGUGACUAGUGGGGUGCCACAGGGUUCUGUCUUGGGCCUGGUCUUAUUCAACAUCUUUAUCAACGACUUGGAUGAUGGACUCAAGGGCAUCCUGAUCAAAUUUGCAGAUGACACCAAACUGGGAGGGGUGGCUAACACCCCAGAGGACAGGAUCACACUUCAAAACGACCUUGACAGAUUAGAGAACUGGGCAAAAACAAACAAGAUGAAUUUUAACAGGGAGAAAUGUAAAGUAUUGCACUUGGGCAAAAAAUGAGAGGCACAAAUACAAGAUGGGUGACACCUGGCUUGAGAGCAGUACAUGUGAAAAGGAUCUAGGAGUCUUGGUUGACCACAAACUUCACAUGAGCCAACAGUGUGACGCGGCAGCUAAAAAGCCAAUGCAAUUCUGGGCUGCAUCAAUAGGAGUAUAGCAUCUAGAUCAAGGGAAGUAAUAGUGCCACUGUAUUCUGCUCUGGUCAGACCUCACCUGGAGUACUGUGUCCAGUUCUGGGCACCACAGUUCAAGAAGGACACUGACAAACUGGAACGUGUCCAGAGGAGGGCAACCAAAAUGGUCAAAGGCCUGGAAACGAUGCCUUAUGAGGAACGGCUAAGGGAGCUGGGCAUGUUUAGCCUGGAGAAGAGGAGGUUAAGGGGUGAUAUGAUAGCCAUGUUCAAAUAUAUAAAAGGAUGUCACAUAGAGGAGGGAGAAAGGUUGUUUUCUGCUGCUCCAGAGAAGCGGACACGGAGCAAUGGAUCCAAACUACAAGAAAGAAGAUUCCACCUAAACAUUAGGAAGAACUUCCUGACAGUAAGAGCUG
rnacentral:lncRNA from 1 species